rnacentral:lncRNA from 1 species
AUCAACUAUCUUGAGGACCAGCUGUUCUUGUUUGGUUCAGACUUCUAUCCAAGAAGACGGCAUUUGGCUGAUCAAAUGGUUGAAGAUGGUCCUUCUUCCGGAGGUGAAGCUAAGUUUCCUCUUUCUCUGAUGGAGCAACCAUUUACGCCUCCCAACUUUCCGAACACCGAACCUCGCAGCCGUCGUCUCGAAGAUAAACCUGCAAAGAAGCGUUGGGGAGUGCCUCCUCCAGUUUCACCUUCGGAUAAGCAGCACAACUACAUAAAAUUGGUCUUGACUGUGGUGCUCCCGACGGCGGCCUUCUCGUUCAUUGCUGCAUUCCUGAUUUUCUACUGCUGUGGAUGCAACAAGAGCAAGGUCUCUGUCGGUGAGCCUCGAGAUGAUCAUCCUCUUCUUCACAUGCAGUCGGCCAACACACCUGGUGAGGCAAUGUCCCUUUCUGUCUACCUAUGAUGGGUUGUUCUUGGUGUGGUAUUAUAUCAUAUAUCAUCAAUUUCAUGCAGGAUCGUCACCCGUUAUCCGUGCAUCCUCCAGUCAGCUUCACAAGGAUGAUCAAGGGGUCAGGGCUUCUAAGGCCGGAGGCAGCAUGAGUCGGUGCUUUCCAUGCUGUUUUAAAACCUCCAGUGAUGUGUCAACUCCCGCGCAAGCUACUGGAGGAACACAGAACAACACAAGUGAUGCUCCUAAACCAGUGCCUCCGCCACCGCCGCCGCCGCCACCGCCUCCACCACCGCCUCCUCCUAUCAGGAAGGCUGGUCCUCCCCCACCUGCACCUCCCAAAGGCUCAUUAGCAAGAUUUCCUCAGCUGUCACCUGUUGAGUCAAGUCAUUCUGAAGGAUCAUCUGCAAGCGAGCAGGCCAGUGAAUCGUCUGAAGCUGAAGUGGGUGCUCCAAGACCCAAACUUCGACCAUUCUAUUGGAACAAAGUUCUUGCUAAUCCUAACCAGUCGAUGGCCUGGCAUGACAUCAAGUUUGGUUCUUUUCAGUAAGUUUUACACUAGCAACAAGUUAUUAAUCCAUUUGUCUGCACUUUGAGGCUUGUAUCUGACAAAUGCAUUUUGCAGUGUGAACGAGGAUAUGAUAGAGGCAUUGUUUGGUUAUGGCGCUGGCAACAGAAACAACACCAAGGACAAGGAACUUGCCAUGGCUGACCCUUCACCUCAGCAUGUUUCUCUUCUUGAUUUUAAGAAAUCGUGCAACCUGGCAGUUGUUUUCAAGGCAAUGAAUGUCAGGGUAGAGGACAUUCAAGAUGCUCUCACUGAAGGUAGCUCUUCGUCCAUAAGAACAUAUUGUUAAUUGGUCAUGUAGCUUGCUUAUUCAUAUGUGGAAAAGAUGCAUGUUCUUGCACAGAUAAAAGCAGCAUUCUCUGACAUUUCCUUUCACCUCUGUUCUCUAGGAAAUGAACUUCCUAGACUACUUCUUGAGACGAUCUUGAGAAUGAAACCAAAUGAUGAGGAGGAGCUGAAACUUAGGCUUUACGAUGGGGACUACUCGCAACUAGGUCUUGCAGAACAAGUCAUGAAGGCACUAACUGACAUUCCUUUUGCUUACAAGAGGAUCAGUGCUCUGCUUUUCAUGUCAUCUUUGCAAGAAGAUGCUUCAAGUCUCAGGGAUUCAUUCCUGCAAUUGGAGGUAAGCUAAGUGAAAGCAGUUGACUUGUGUAUUAAAUCUGAAAAGCACUCCAACCUUUACUGAAAUUACUAUCUUUUUGGUGUCAGGCUGCUUGUGGGGAACUGAAGCACCGGCUUUUUCUGAAACUGCUAGAAGCUGUUCUUAAAACUGGAAACCGUUUGAAUGACGGGACCUUCCGUGGUGGUGCUAACGCAUUCAAACUUGAUACCCUUCUGAAGUUGUCAGAUGUCAAGGGUGCCGAUGGAAAGACUACAUUGCUUCACUUUGUUGUCCAGGAGAUUAUUCGAUCCGAAGGUGUCCGUGAAGCAAGGUUGGCCAUGGAAAGUGGAAGGACUCAACCUUCAGGAGAUGAUUCGAACGGAUCUGUCCAAGAAGAUGGCGAGUACUACUCCAAGCUCGGCCUAAAGAUUGUAUCAGGGCUUAGCAGUGAACUGGUUAAUGCCAAGAACAUAGCUGCACUAGAUGCUGAUGCUUUAUCUGCCAGUGUAUUGCAACUCAGACGUGAGUUGCUGAACGCAAAGGAGUUCCUGAACUCUGACAUGGCAACGAUAGAUGAGAAUAGUGGAUUCCACCGCUCGCUGGCACGUUUCGUUGAGCAUGCAGAGAAUGAGACCAACUUUCUGUUGAAAGAAGAGAAGAGAUUGAGAUCGUUGGUGAAGAAAACAAUCCGGUAUUUCCAUGGAAACGAUGUGAAAGAUGAUGGAUUUAGCCUCUUUGUCAUUGUAAGAGAUUUUUUGGUGAUGCUAGAUAAGGCCUGCAAGGAAGUUGGGGCAUCACAAAAGAAGGCGGCGAGUCAAUCUCGGAGCAGUGGCAGUUGUAACCCAGCCUCCCAGUUAAAUCCCCAGGAGAAACAGUUUCCUGCAGUACUGGAUGAUCAUUUAGAUAGCUCGGAUUCAAACGAUUAAUUUUGGGAUACAAUCUUAGAUGUAAUCUAUAGGGUUUUUUUUUUUUGCCUGAGAUGAUGUACAAAUACCCAUUUGCAGAGACACUACUGUAUACAUACAAAUGCCACAUACACAUGGCUUUAUACGUACAUGUUUGCAGAGGCAUUGCUGUAUACAUAUGCAUGCCACAUACACAUGGUUAUAUCAAACCUCUACAUUAGUAUCUGAUGAAAUUCAUGCACUCAUUUCUAACUUGAGAUCCGUUCUUGCAAAAUGGGAUUCGGUUUUAAUUCACAAUUUCCUGAUCAGAUUGCAAUGACUAUUUGUAGGCACGUAAAAGCUUCUUUUAUUACAAAAAAAAUUCCAAGCUUCUCUUUAAAUUUCCAAAACCACGAGCAGAUAUUCCAGCACUUAAUACCUGAAAAUAUGCAAGAUGUGGAGUUUGUGAGCUCGAGCUCAUAUGAGCUUGAAGAACAGUAACAUCAUGAAAAAAUCCUGUUUUUUCGGGCAACAGACAUCAAUGUGUGUUUACCUGCAUGUAAAUAUUUGUGAUGGAAUGACAUUUGUGAAAGUUUGGAUUAAAAAACUAAAUCGACGCUCCAAAAAGGAUGGGGAGCAUUGAUUUUGUAUUUUUUGCUCAAACUUCCACGAAUGUCAUUUCAUCAUGAUUUUUUGCAUGCAGGUGAAACAUACAUUGAUGUUUAUUACCAAAAUAUCAGAUUUUUUAUUUUAUUUCACACGGUUUUACUGUUCAUCCGAGCUCGUGCUCAUAAUAGCACUUUUGAUAAAGUUGUCACUAUUUUGGUACUCAUAAUUCACCAUGGACCUCCGUAGAUUCAACAGGGCUGAUAUCUCUACAUGGGUUUAGAUUGGUGUUGUUUGAAUUCACUAGUCAAUGUGUACGUGCAAUGCACGUUAAUUUGAAAGUAUAUUAAGUGCAUGCAGAUAUUAAGUAAGAUAUUAUUUACAUGUUAUUAUGUGAUUAGCACUAUAUUUGGUAUGAAAUUAACUGCAUGAUAAACGUGUUGAGUGCUCAACAUUGAACCAGUCUAGGUCGUUGGAUUGACAUGAUUUGAUGACCGAGAUUAAUUAGAUCCGCCCCUUUGAGUCUUUUUAUAUUGGUAUAGAUGAGCAUGAGCAGAAGGUGGGACUGAUGAUAUGUAUGGACAAGGUUUCUUAAGAAACAUAUAUUUUUAUUUUCAAUGUAUAUUGUUUCAUUGGUGUUUUCAGGAAUUUAUUAAAUGGUUGCAUUAGUUUGCCCAUUGGGGGCUAUAAUUUAUUCGAUCUCAUUGGUGAGCAUUUCAAACAUGUCUUGAAUCUCUCUACUUUGGCACAAGCAUUAUCCACGCGUCUCUAGGUGUAACCACUCUUAAGAAUACUAGUCAUCAUGGACAAACAGAAACUCGUCAGUGAUAAUUGGUCAUUAUUAAGAAAUUCUUUACGGAAAUCAGGAGAGGCCACCACACAUAAUAUCUUUGUAGAGAAGCAGAGUGAGUGGUAGGGCCAGCGACAUGCAUGACCCACCACAAAGAACUUGGCGCAUCUCCCCUCUCUCUCUCCCCAUCGUCGAUUUCACGUCAAAGAUGUCAAUUUCUCACCGGAGAGGUCGAUUCCUCUCCGGAGAGGUUGACUACUUGUCGGAUGAGGUCAAUUCCUUACCGGAGGACCUUGUUGGCCGACACAUGACCCGCGGGACGUCUAAACCUCCUUCAAUGGCCAAGGUAGGCCUACACUCAAUGCCUAGGCACGUUUGAGCGGCAUUUUUUUGCCUAAAUUUUAAUGCUUAAUUUGAGUAUCCAUGUCCUUAUUUUGAAGUCAUGGACUAGUCCAAAAUUUGAAUACUGUUUAAUCAUUUGUAUAUUUGCCGCCUUCUAAUGACUACCCAGUUCAAAUUUUUAUACAUUGUCCUUCAUAAGUAACUUGUUUUCAAUUGCUAUUUUGCUUUUUUCUUUUAAAAAUACGCCAUUGACAUCGGGUUGUACGCAUAAUCUGAGAAUUUUAGCCAAGCUUCCUAAAUUUAGACAAUUUGACUAUAAGAAGUUAUAUUUUUUUUAUGAUCGCAUUCCUUUCAGUGGAGUGCAAAAAAAACUUGUUUCUUUAUAACAAAAGGGCGCAUCAUUUAUUCCCCAACCUGCUCUUGUGACCUAGGAGACAGCAGCAAUGACCAAUUUACCAACCUCCCCGGCGAGACCCUCUCUCUUUGUAUGUCGCUUCGACGACGAGAGGGGAGUGGACCCUAAGUCUUCAUUUCGGUGGUGAUACUGAUAGAAGUAAAUUUAGGUUUUAUCUCGGAUAGACAGUGGUGAUUCGGUGGCGUGGAUGAUGAUGCGGAAUAAAGUGUCCCUACCACACGCCUCAUUACUAUGUGCUUGUUCAUAUCUCGGGAGGCGUGUGAGUUUGUUUCUAUUAUCUGUGGAUUUGUCCUGGUGAUGUUGUGCAAUGCCCACCGGACCUGGACACGGCAUGCUCGCUGGCCCUGCUUCAGGAGGAAGUGGCCGACGGCGAGCACUCGUUUGGGCGUCUCUCCAACACCACUCGAGGCCAUGGCCACGCCGGCCGUUCUACUCCGCCGUCAUUCUUCAGUAGACCUGCUACACCAACAGUGGUCUCUGAAGAUUGCCGCGUUACUGACGCCACGCGCGCCACGCCAGAAGCCAGCAAGGUCGCUGCCCUUCGCGCCUUCCGCCGCGCGAAGGGGCUCUGCUUCAAGUGCGGUGAACGAUGGGGCAAGGACCACACGCGCCCGCCCACGGUGCAGAUGCACAUCGUGGAGGAGCUGCUCGCCAUGUUUCCCCAAGACGACGCGCAACCCGAGUCACCCCCAACAUCUCCAAUCUCUGACGAAGAAAACCUCUGCACCUUAUCCCGUCAGGCUGAAGAUGGCUCGUUCGAUCCGGGGGUGUUGCAGCUGCAAGCAUGGCUCGAAGGCCAAGAGAUUCUGUUGUUGGUCGACUCCGGCAGUUCUACGUCUUUUGUGGACAGCUCCCUGGCAGCAAAACUCUCCGGAGCAAGGCCGUUGCCGCGCCCAUGUCGCAUGCGCGUGGCCAAUGGUGCCACCAUUCCCUGCACCACAUACAUUUCGGCGUGUCAGUGGACAACCCAAGGGCACAAGUUCCAAACGGAUUUCAAAAUCCUCAAGCCGGUCUCGUAUGAUGCCAUUCUCGGGAUGGACUGGCUACGAAAGCACAGCCCCAUGAACAUCGAUUGGAUCAAACAGUUCCUAACUGUAACAACUCCAGCCGGCCAACUGACUCUGUCUGCCACAUCUUCAGAUCAAACCCAAUGCUCGGUCAUCUCUGCACUAGAACUCCUCAAGGCUUGCAAACAAGGAUCUGUUGGAAAUAUGCCCUAGAGGCAAUAAUAAAUGGUUAUUAUUAUAUUUCUUUGUUCAUGAUAAUUGUCUAUUGUUCAUGCUAUAAUUGUGUUAUCCGGAAAUCGUAAUACAUGUGUGAAUACAUAGACCACAAGGUGUCCCUAGUAAGCCUCUAGUUGACUAGCUCGUUGAUCAACAGAUAGUCAUGGUUUCCUGACUAUGGGCAUUGGAUGUCAUUGAUAACGGGACCACAUCAUUAGGAGAAUGAUGUGAUGGACAAGACCCAAUCCUAAGCAUAGCUCAAAGAUCAUGUAGUUCGUUUGCUAGAGCUUUUCCAAUGUCAAGUAUCUUCUCCUUAGACCAUGAGAUCGUGCAACUCCCGGAUACCGUAGGAGUACUUUGGGUGUGCCAAACGUCACAACGUAACUGGGUGACUAUAAAGGUACACUACGGGUAUCUCCGAAAGUGUCUGUUGGGUUGGCACGGAUCGAGACUGGGAUUUGUCACUCCGUAUGACGGAGAGGUAUCUCUGGGCCCACUCGGUAAUGCAUCAUCAUAAUGAGCUCAAUGUGACUAAGGCGUUAGUCACGGGAUCAUGCAUUGCGGUACGAGUAAAGAGACUUGCCGGUAACGAGAUUGAACAAGGUAUUGGGAUACCGACGAUCGAAUCUCGGGCAAGUAACAUACCGAUUGACAAAGGGAAUUGUAUACGGGAUUGAUUGAAUCCUCGACAUCGUGGUUCAUCCGAUGAGAUCAUCGUGGAACAUGUGGGAGCCAACAUGGGUAUCCAGAUCCCGCUGUUGGUUAUUGACCGGAGAGGCGUCUCGGUCAUGUCUGCAUGUCUCCCGAACCCGUAGGGUCUACACACUUAAAGGUUCGGUGACGCUAGGGUUGUAGAGAUAUGAGUAUGCGGAAACCCGAAGUUUUUCGGAGUCCCGGAUGAGAUCCCGGACAUCACGAGGAGUUCCGGAAUGGUCCGGAGGUGAAGAAUUAUAUAUAGGAAGUCCAGUUUCGGCCACCGGGAAAGUUUCGGGGGUUAUCGGUAUUGUACCGGGACCACCGGAAGGGUCCCGGGGGUCCACCGGGUGGGGCCACCUAUCCCGGAGGGCCCCAUGGGCUGAAGUGGGAAGGGAACCAGCCCUUAGUGGGCUGGGGCGCCCCCCAUGGGCCUCCCCCCUGUGCCUAGGGUUGGAAACCCUAGGGUGGGGGGCGCCCCACUUGACUUGGGGGGUAAGUUACCCCCCUUGGCCGCCGCCCCCCCCAUCUAGAUGGGUCUUGGCCGCCGCCCCCCCCCUCCCAGGGGGCCUAUAUAAAGGGGGGGAGGGAGGGCAGCAACAUUACAGCCUUGGGCGCCUCCCUCCUCCCCUGCUACACCUCUUCCUCUCGCAGACGCUCGGCGAAGCCCUGCCGAGAUCCCGCUACAUCCACCACCACGCCGUCGUGCUGCUGGAUCUCCAUCAACCUCUCCUUUCCCCUUGCCGGAUCAAGAAGGAGGAGACGUCGCUGCACCGUACGUGUGUUGAACGCGGAGGUGCCGUCCGUUCGGCACUCGGUCAUCGGUGAUUUGGAUCACGGCGAGUACGACUCCAUCAACCACGUUCAUUGGAACGUUUCCGCUCGCGAUCUACAAGGGUAUGUAGAUGCACUCCUUUCCCCUCGUUGCUAGUAUACUCCAUAGAUCGAUCUUGGUGAGCGUAGGAAAAUUUUAAAAUUCUGCUACGAUCCCCAACAGUGGCAUCAUGAGCCAGGCCUAUGCGUAGUUACUAUGCACGAGUAGAACACAAAGUAGUUGUGGGCAUUGAUGUUGCCUAUUCUUCUUGCCGCUACUAGUCUUAUCUUGUUUCGGCGGUAUUGUGGGAUGAAGCGGCCCGGACCGACCUUACACGUACGCUUACGUGAGACAGGUUCCACCGACUGACAUGCACUAGUUGCAUAAGGUGGCUAGCGGGUGUCUGUCUCUCCUACUUUAGUCGGAACGGAUUCGAUGAAAAGGGUCCUUAUGAAGGGUAAAUAGAAAUUGGCAAAUCACGUUGUGGUUUUACGUAGGUAAGAAACGUUCUUGCUAGAAACCUACAAGCCACGUAAAAACUUGCAACAACAAUUAGAGGACGUCUAACUUGUUUUUGCAGCAUGUGCUAUGUGAUGUGAUAUGGCCAGAAGAUGUGAUGAAUGAUAUAUGUGAUGUAUGAGAUUGAUCAUAUUCUUGUAAUAGGAAUCACGACUUUCAUGUCGAUGAGUAUGACAACCGGCAGGAGCCAUAGGAGUUGUCUUUAUUAUUUUGUGUGACCUGCGUGUCAUUGAAUAACGCCAUGUAAAUUACUUUACUUUAUUGCUAAACGCGUUAGCCAUAGAAGUAGAAGUAAUAGUUGGCGUGACAACUUCAUGAAGACACAAUGAUGGAGAUCAUGAUGAUGGAGAUCAUGGUGUCAUGCCGGUGACGAAGAUGAUCAUGGUGCCCCGAAGAUGGAGAUCAAAGGAGCAAAAUGAUAUUGGCCAUAUCAUGUCACUAUUUGAUUGCAUGUGAUGUUUAUCAUGUUUUUGCAUCUUAUUUGCUUAGAACGACGGUAGUAAGUAAGAUGAUCCCUUAUGAUAAUUUCAAGAAAGUGUUCCCCCUAAUUGUGCACCGUUGCGAAGGUUCAUUGUUUCGAAGCACCACGUGAUGAUUGGGUGUGAUAGAUUCUAACGUUCGCAUACAACGGGUGUUGACGAGCCUAGCAUGUACAGACAUGGCCUCGGAACACACGCAAUACACUUAGGUUGACUUGACGAGCCUAGCAUGUACAGACAUGGCCUCGGAACACGGAGGACCGAAAGGUCGAGCAUGAGUCGUAUAGAAGAUACGAUCAACAUGGAGAUGUUCACCGAUCUUGACUAGUCCGUCUCACGUGAUGAUCGGACACGGCCUAGUUAACUCGGAUCAUGUUUCACUUAGAUGACUAGAGGGAUGUCUAUCUGAGUGGGAGUUCAUUAAAUAAUUUGAUUAUAUGAACUUAAUUAUCAUGAACUUAGUCUAAAAUCUUUACACUAUGUCUUGUAGAUCAAAUGGCCCACGUUGUCCUCAACUUCAACGCGUUCCUAGAGAAAACCAAGCUGAAAGAUGAUGGCAGUAACUAUACGGACUGGGUCCGGAACCUGAGGAUCAUCCUCAUAGCUGCCAAGAAAGAUUAUGUCCUAGAAGCACCGCUAGGUGAAGCACCAAUCCCAGAGAACCAAGACGUUAUGAACGCUUGGCAGCAGCGUGCUGAUGAUUACUCCCUCGUUCAGUGCGGCAUGCUUUACAGCUUAGAACCGGGUCUCCAAAAGCGUUUUGAGAAACAUGGAGCAUAUGAGAUGUUCGAGGAGCUGAAAAUGGUUUUCCAAGCUCAUGCCCGGGUCGAGAGAUAUGAAGUCUCCGACAAGUUCUUCAGCUGUAAAAUGGAGGAGAAUAGUUCUAUUAGUGAGCACAUACUCAGAAUGUCUGGGUUGCACAACCGCUUGUCUCAGCUGGGAGUUAAUCUCCCGGAUGACGCGGUCAUUGACAGAAUCCUCCAGUCGCUUCCACCAAGCUACAAGAGCUUUGUGAUGAACUUCAAUAUGCAAGGGAUGGAAAAGACCAUUCCUGAGGUAUAUUCAAUGCUGAAAUCAGCGGAGGUGGAGAUCAGAAAAGAACAUCAAGUGUUGAUGGUGAAUAAAACCACUAAGUUCAAGAAGGGCAAGGGUAAGAAGAACUUCAAGAAGGACGGCAAGGGAGUUGCCGCGCCCGGUAAGCCAGUUGCCGGGAAGAAGUCAAAGAAUGGACCCAAGCCUGAAACUGAGUGCUUUUAUUGCAAGGGAAGUGGUCACUGGAAGUGGAACUGCCCCAAAUACUUAGCGGACAAGAAGGCCGGCAACACAAAAGGUAUAUGUGAUAUACAUGUAAUUGAUGUGUACCUUACCAGUACUCGUAGUAGCUCCUGGGUAUUUGAUACCGGUGCGGUUGCUCAUAUUUGUAACUCAAAACAGGAACUGCGGAAUAAACGGAGACUGGCAAAGGACGAGGUGACGAUGCGCGUCGGGAAUGGUUCCAAGGUCGAUGUGAUCGCCGUCGGCACGCUACCUCUGCAUCUACCUAUGGGAUUAGUUUUAAACCUCAAUAAUUUUUAUUUAGUGCCAGCUUUGAGCAUGAACAUUGUAUCUGGAUCUCGUUUAAUUCGAGAUGGCUACUCAUUUAAAUCUGAGAAUAAUGGUUGUUCUAUUUAUUUGAGAGAUAUGUUUUAUGGUCAUGCCCCACUGGUCAAUGGUUUAUUCUUGAUGAAUCUCGAACGUGAUGUUACAUAUAUUCAUAGUGUGAAUACCAAAAGAUGUAAAGUUGAUAACGAUAGUCCCACAUACUUGUGGCACUGCCGCCUUGGUCACAUUGGUGUCAAGCGCAUGAAGAAGCUCCAUGCAGAUGGACUUUUGGAGUCUCUUGAUUACGAAUCAUUUGACACGUGCGAACCAUGCCUCAUGGGUAAGAUGACCAAGACUCCGUUCUCCGGAACAAUGGAGCGAGCAACCAACUUAUUGGAAAUCAUACAUACCGAUGUGUGCGGUCCAAUGAGUGUUGAGGCUCGCGGAGGAUAUCGUUAUGUUCUCACUCUCACUGAUGACUUAAGUAGAUAUGGGUAUGUCUACUUAAUGAAACACAAGUCUGAAACCUUUGAAAAGUUCAAGGAAUUUCAGAGUGAGGUUGAGAAUCAACGUGACAGAAAAAUAAAAUUCUUACGAUCAGAUCGUGGUGGAGAAUAUUUAAGUCACGAAUUUGGUACGCACUUAAGGAAAUGUGGAAUAGUUUCACAACUCACGCCGCCUGGAACACCUCAGAGAAAUGGUGUGUCCGAACGUUGUAAUCGCACUCUAUUGGAUCUGGUGUGAUCUAUGAUGUCUCUUACCGAUUUACCGCUCUCAUUUUGGGGCUAUGCUUUAGAGACUACCGCAUUCACUUUAAAUAGGGCUCCGUCGAAAUCCGUUGAGACGGCACCGUAUGAAUUAUGGUUUGGGAAGAAACCUAAGCUGUCGUUUCUAAAAAUUUGGGGAUGCGAUGCUUAUGUCAAGAAACUUCAACCUAAAAAGCUCGAACCCAAGUCGAAAAAAUGCGUCUUCAUAGGAUACCCUAAGGAAACCAUUGGGUAUACCUUCUACCUCAGAUCCGAAGGCAAGAUCUUCAUUGCCAAGAACGGGUCCUUUCUGGAGAAAGAGUUUCUCUCGAAAGAAUUGAGUGGGAGGAAAGUGGAAUUUGAUGAGGUGAUAGUCACCCCUUCCGAACCGGAAAGUAGCGCAGCGCGGGAAGAUGUUCCUGUGGUGCCUACACCGACUGGGGAGGAAGUUAAUGAUGAUGAUCAUGAAGCUUCAGAUCAAGUUACUACUGAACUUCGUAGGUCCACAAGGACACGUUCCGCACCAGAGUGGUACGGCAACCCUGUCCUGGAAAUCAUGUUGUUAGACAACGGUGAACCUUCGAACUAUGAAGAAGCGAUGGCGGGCCCGGAUUCCGACAAAUGGCUAGAAGCCAUGAAAUCCGAGAUAGGAUCCAUGUAUGAAAACGAAGUAUGGACUUUGACUGACUUGCCCGAUGAUCGGCGAGCCAUAGAAAAUAAAUGGAUCUUUAAGAAAAAGACAGACGCGGAUGGUAAUGUGACCAUCUACAAGGCUCGACUUGUCGCUAAGGGUUAUCGACAAGUUCAAGGGGUUGACUACGAUGAGACUUUCUCACCCGUAGCGAAGCUGAAGUCCGUCCGAAUCAUGUUAGCAAUUGCCGCAUACUAUGAUUAUGAGAUAUGGCAGAUGGACGUCAAAACGGCAUUCCUUAACGGCUUCCUUAAGGAAGAGUUGUAUAUGAUGCAGCUGGAAGGUUUUGUCGAUCCUAAGAAUGCUAACAAAGUAUGCAAGCUCCAGCGCUCAAUCUAUGGGCUGGUGCAAGCAUCUCGGAGUUGGAACAUUCGCUUUGAUGAGAUGAUCAAAGCGUUUGGGUUUACACAGACUUAUGGAGAAGCCCGUGUUUACAAGAAAGUGAGUGGGAGCUCUGUAGCAUUUCUCAUAUUAUAUGUGGAUGACAUACUAUUGAUGGGAAAUGAUAUAGAAUUCUUGGAAAGUAUAAAGGCCUAUUUGAAUAAGUGUUUUUCAAUGAAGGACCUUGGAGAAGCUGCUUAUAUAUUAGGCAUCAAGAUCUAUAGAGAUAGAUCGAGACGCCUCAUUGGUCUUUCGCAGAGUACAUACCUUGACAAGAUAUUGAAGAAGUUCAACAUGGAUCAGUCCAAGAAGGGGUUCUUGCCUGUAUUGCAAGGUGUGCAAUUGAGCACGGCUCAAUGCCCGACCACGGCAGAAGAUAUAGAAAAGAUGAGUGUCAUCCCCUAUGCCUCGGCCAUAGGGUCUAUUAUGUAUGCCAUGUUGUGUACCAGACCUGAUGUAAACCUUGUCGUAAGUUUGGUAGGAAGGUACCAAAGUAAUCCCGGCAUGGAACACUGGACAGCGGUCAAGAAUAUCCUGAAGUACCUGAAGAGGACUAAGGAUAUGUUUCUCGUUUAUGGAGGUGACGAAGAGCUCGUCAUAAAGGGUUACGUCGACGCUAGCUUCGACACAGAUCUGGAUGACUCGAAGUCACAAACCGGAUACGUGUAUAUUUUGAAUGGAGGAGCAGUAAGCUGGUGUAGUUGCAAGCAAAGCGUCGUGGCGGGAUCUACAUGUGAAGCGGAGUACAUGGCGGCCUCGGAGGCAGCACAGGAAGCAGUCUGGAUGAAGGAGUUCAUUACCGACCUAGGGGUGAUUCCCAAUGCGUCGAGCCCGAUGACUCUCUUCUGUGACAACACUGGAGCUAUUGCCCUUGCGAAGGAGCCCAGGUUUCACAGGAAGACCAGGCAUAUCAAGCGUCGCUUCAACUCCAUUCGUGAAAGUGUUCAAAAUGGAGACAUAGAUAUUUGCAAAGUACAUACGGACCUGAAUGCAGCAGAUCCGUUGACUAAACCUCUCCCUAGGGCAAAACAUGAUCAACACCAGGACGCAAUGGGUGUUCGAUUCAUCACAAUGUAACUAGAUUAUUGACUCUAGUGCAAGUGGGAGACUGUUGGAAAUAUGCCCUAGAGGCAAUAAUAAAUGGUUAUUAUUAUAUUUCUUUGUUCAUGAUAAUUGUCUAUUGUUCAUGCUAUAAUUGUGUUAUCCGGAAAUCGUAAUACAUGUGUGAAUACAUAGACCACAAGGUGUCCCUAGUAAGCCUCUAGUUGACUAGCUCGUUGAUCAACAGAUAGUCAUGGUUUCCUGACUAUGGGUAUUGGAUGUCAUUGAUAACGGGAUCACAUCAUUAGGAGAAUGAUGUGAUGGACAAGACCCAAUCCUAAGCAUAGCUCAAAGAUCGUGUAGUUCGUUUGCUAGAGCUUUUCCAAUGUCAAGUAUCUUCUCCUUAGACCAUGAGAUCGUGCAACUCCCGGAUACCGUAGGAGUACUUUGGGUGUGCCAAACGUCACAACGUAACUGGGUGACUAUAAAGGUACACUACGGGUAUCUCCGAAAGUGUCUGUUGGGUUGGCACGAAUCGAGACUGGGAUUUGUCACUCUGUAUGACGGAGAGGUAUCUCUGGGCCCACUCGGUAAUGCAUCAUCAUAAUGAGCUCAAUGUGACUAAGGCGUUAGUCACGGGAUCAUGCAUUGCGGUACGAGUAAAGAGACUUGCCGGUACCGAGAUUGAACAAGGUAUUGGGAUACCGACGAUCGAAUCUCGGGCAAGUAACAUACCGAUUGACAAAGGGAAUUGUAUACGGGAUUGAUUGAAUCCUCGACAUCGUGGUUCAUCCGAUGAGAUCAUCGUGGAACAUGUGGGAGCCAACAUGGGUAUCCAUAUCCCGCUGUUGGUUAUUGACCGGAGAGGCGUCUCGGUCAUGUCUGCAUGUCUCCCGAACCCGUAGGGUCUACACACUUAACGUUCGGUGACGCUAGGGUUGUAGAGAUAUGAGUAUGCGGAAACCCGAAAGUUGUUCGGAGUCCCGGAUGAGAUCCCGGACAUCACGAGGAGUUCCGGAAUGGUCCGGAGGUGAAGAAUUAUAUAUAGGAAGUCCAGUUUCGGCCACCGGGAAAGUUUCGGGGGUUAUCGGUAUUGUACCGGGACCACCGGAAGGGUCCCGGGGGUCCACCGGGUGGGGCCACCUAUCCCGGAGGGCCCCAUGGGCUGAAGUGGGAAGGGAACCAGCCCUUAGUGGGCUGGGGCGCCCCCCAUGGGCCUCCCCCCUGCGCCUAGGUUUGGAAACCCUAGGGUGGGGGGCGCCCCACUUGACUUGGGGGGUAAGUUACCCCCCUUGGCCGCCGCCCCCCCCCCAUCUAGAUGGGUCUUGGCCGGCGCCCCCCCCCCCCUCCCAGGGGGCCUAUAUAAAGGGGGGAGGGAGGGCAGCAACAUUACAGCCUUGGGCGCCUCCCUCCUCCCCUGCUACACCUCUUCCUCUCGCAGACGCUCGGCGAAGCCCUGCCGAGAUCCCGCUACAUCCACCACCACGCCGUCGUGCUGCUGGAUCUCCAUAACCUCUCCUUUCCCCUUGCUGGAUCAAGAAGGAGGAGACGUCGCUGCACCGUACGUGUGUUGAACGCGGAGGUGCCGUCCGUUCGGCACUCGGUCAUCGGUGAUUUGGAUCACGGCGAGUACGACUCCAUCAACCACGUUCAUUGGAACGCUUCCGCUCGUGAUCUACAAGGGUAUGUAGAUGCACUCCUUUCCCCUCGUUGCUAGUAUACUCCAUAGAUGGAUCUUGGUGAGCGUAGGAAAAUUUUAAAAUUCUGCUACGAUCCCCAACAGGAUCGGUAGCACACAUUGUGCACCUCAACGCUCUCGACAGCAACAGUACAACAGACUCACCAAUUCCCGUCGAGAUCCCGCGUCUGUUGGAACAGUUCACCGACGUCUUUGAGGACCCACGAAAUGUUCGUCCGUUCCAAAAAUAACUCUCCCAAAGGUUUCGUUCCGUUUGGACUCCGUUUGAUAUUCCUUUUUCUUCGAAACACUGAAACAGGCAAGAAAACAGCAAUUUGGGCUGGGCCUCCGGUUAAUAGGUUAGUCCCAAAAAUAAUAUAAAAGUGUUUAGUAAAGCCCAUAAACAUCCAAAACAGAUAAUAUAAUAGCAUGAAUACUUCAUAAAUCAUAGAUACGUUGGAGACGUAUCAUCCGGCCCCCCUUCCCGAAGACUCAGCGGACCCCGUGCUAACAAGGAUGCUGGCAUCGGCACCGUACCAGGCGCCGGUGGAGGGCAAGGUGGAGAGCGGGAAGACCAGGGGUGGCCUUCGUUCCGAAGGUAAAUUAGACACCGGGUCCGGAGAAAUCGACGUUUCUUUGCCCGAAGACAAAGGCGAAGGAGAAGCAAGCAUCCCUUCUCCAUAUAGGAAGAAAAGGGUCGCCUCCGAAGGUUGGGAGGAACUGGCUUCCAAGAGGGGCAAGAUGCCAUCGUCGGGCGGCUCGAGAUUGGAAGGCGACGCCGUUGCACAGCUCCACCAUGAGGACAAGCCUUCGACCAAAUCGUAAGUGAAUCCAGGGUGCUUUAAUCACAUCACGUUCCUUUCCUGUUACCGAAGUGACAAGUAAUAUACAUGUGUAUCUUCUCAGUUCGGCGCAGAGUUUUCCUCAGCAAUCCUCUUCCUUGGGAGAUCUUCUCCCAGAGAUGAUGGAAAGCGAGACGCCUCCCCCGGCCUCCUCGCCCAAUAAGGUGGACGACUCCGAAGUGUCGUCCCGAAGGGUUUUUCUUGAUCAACAAGCGGCGCGAGGGAUGAAGAGGGCAUCACCCGAAGGUGGUCCCCCGAUCUCCCGGGGUUCGGGGGCCAACAAUGAAGGCCCGGGACUAUCCGGUUUUCAGCCGGCGAUGAUUCUGGAGACGAGUGAACGGAUUUCUUCAAAGGAAGGCCGUGCUCCUAUGGUGGCUUCCGGAGACCCAGCGGCGCCGGAUAUGUUGAAGGAUAUGCUGCGGCAAGCAUCUGUCACGGAGGAACAACGUACCUUGAUGGGUACAGUGGUUGAGAAGAUUCUAUCCGCGAAGAGCGGAUUGAAUGAAGCCUUCAUGAGCCUGCUAAGAGGCUUCGACAUUUGUGAUGUGAUGCUUUCAACUGUAUUUUAUUUGCAAAAUGCACCUGUGUAUAGGUCGUAGCCCCUAAGACUCGGGUUGGCUUCCCAUGGGAGGCGAUCCGAGGAUCAAGAAGAAAUGCUCAAGGAAUAAUCUGGGUAAUUGGAACACAGGCUAUUUCUCCCCUGACGACUGCCCGGACUACGGAUAUUGCCGAGCUACAGCGGAAGCUUGAUGUGGCAGGGGAUGACAUUGCGUUAAUCAAUAGGCGUCUUGACGAGUCGCAAGGUAUGUAUUCGGAGCAGUCAUUACACAUAUGUGCUUGUAAUAUAAGCGUGAUGCUGAAAAUUGUAUACUGGGAUAUGCAUGGUUGCAGAUGGUGCCGCCGCCGUUGAGAUUCUUCGGGUGGAGCUAGCCCGGGCCAAGGAGCAGGCCCGGUUUAGUAAUGCGGCUGCCGAGAAGGCAUCGGCCAAGUUAAAGGCUGAACAAGCUGCUCGGCACCAAGACGAGGAGAAAAUAUCCACGAUGGCGCUCGAACUAAAAAAUGUUGCUAGCCGCUGUGAAUUCCUUGAGAAGGAGAAUAAAGCCAAAACGGCUGAUUUUGACAAGGCCUUACGAGAGGCGAAAGAAGCGCGGUCCGAAUCUAGAGCGGCCCGUGAGGAGAUCCGGCAAGCUGGGGAGAUUGCGGCUGGUAAGCCCUUUUUAAUACAGAGUAAGUUCGGCGAUCCGAACUAUGCUCAGCUUAACCAAGUGUGGAGUUCUCCAGACGUGUUUUUGGACUUGCCGAAGAGUUCUUCCAAUGCGGCACAGUUUUACCGAGCGCAAGAGGGAUAUGCAACGGAGAAGCUUUUCUGGUCACAUUUUGGUGCAUCAAAGUGCCCUCUGCUGCUGAAUGAACAGAUGUCCCAAUGGGCCGAGCUUCACAGGAUAUCCGGCGCUGCCAUGAAGAAUGUCAUAAUCCGGCUGUGGCCGACUGAGCCUAUUCCGAAUAGCUACUUCGUCUUAGUGCAGCGGCUUGUUGAUGCGACGCCACGUAUCGACGCCGUUAGGCGGUCGGCGUGCAUUGAAGGUGCACGGAUGGCCUUUGCCCGUGUCAAGACAUACUGGGGGAAGAUGAAGGCCAUCGAUGUUGCAGCGAAGAGUCCACCCCAGGGUAAGGACCAUCACGCACCAGAGCAUUAUUUAGAGGACAUCUUAGAGGCUGCCCGCUUGAUAGAGGGUCAAUGUUCGAAAGGCAUAAUAUUCGAGUAAAGUGUAUGCGAAUUGUAAAAGUCAAUUUUUUAUAAUCAGACUAUAUUUUAGUUUUGCCUAAAGGCUUUUGUUCCUCCUGUGCGGCCGUUUGUAUAUGAUCUGAAAGUUUUUCAGUCAUCGGCUUCAGCCCCCUCGUAGGAAAUAUGGAGGUGUUCGGAAAAGCAUCUGAUCACUCUUGACCCAACGUCUUGGUCCGUGAAGGAGGUCUCAAUGUGGCGAACCAGGCAACUGGACUAUAGGGCGUUAACACUUUCACUUAGCCAUAGGAGUUUUAUGGUGGGUUUACGAUAUAACCCCUGGUAUGUACGCGGCUUAUUCUCAUACGAUGCGUUUACAUAUUUGACCGGAAAGAGGUCCUUUGUGUGACACGGAGGGAAUCGCGAAAGAUUCCAAUAAGUCAUCGAGUGGUUGACCAGCUCUCGCCGCAUCAUGACAGUCAGUUUUCGGCUUUCUCUACUGAGGUGCUUAACUAGGUUAACCGGAAGCACAAUCGCAGUAGUUCUCCCUUUACUUUCCUAGCCGAUAGAGCGGGACGUAGGGUAGCAAGCACAAGAGCCGGGCAACCCAACUUUUGACCCAAGACAUGAUUCGAAGCUGAUGCAUAUAAGGCCAAAACUCGCGACGCCGAAAUACGCUAUAGAGCUGUUCGGACUUGUCAGCAACUCGUUUGUUCCCAUACCGAGCCUCUGGCAAGUUAUGCCGAGGUGUAAGUUUGAAACAACCGUAAGGGCAAAACUCGGUUCUAUAGAAAAGAGCAGAUUAUUUUUACUGGGAUCUGAGCGAUGUGCCAAUUGUUUAUAUAGAUAACAAAGCCACACCCUGGCUAUUUUACAUGCCAAGGGUCGAAGGCUGAGGAUAAAUGCACUUUACAGGCUCUAAAUACUGAGUGCGGUCUACAAAAAGUUAUUUUGGACCUCCUGUCGCACGUCUGCGUCGCCUGUCCUUGGUUAGGGUACUCCUUGACGGGAAUGACUUUUUGGAUGAGUGUAUGAACCCGAAUUCUGAUAGAGUCCGUGGGUGACCCGCCUUUGAGCCAUCUGUAGAGAGGAUAGUAAAAAAAGAAGAUAGUUAGAAAAACAAGGGAGUUUAUGGGAGCAUUGGUAGGCCCAUCCUUAUUGUGCUUCCGCCGAUGCCCACGGUAUUUUAAGUGCAUAAUUAUGUAUGCGCAAUACCGACUUCGCAGGCAUAUUAGGUGAGCGGCGGAAGCCGAAUUGCUAGUCCAGUAUGGACAUUGACCGGUCAUGUUGAACGGAGACUGGCGAGGCAAUGGCCGAUGAGGUAUGCGGUGAGAUGAGGCCGCUUCGUAGUUCGGCUAAGGUAUCCGUAGUAUGAUCUUCUGUACGAGGGGAGUUUUCCGUGCAUUCACCUCUAGGGGUGUAUGUGACAUAUACCAUGUUUACUGUUUUUACUUCGGAAGGAAACUUCUUCUGUCCCCCGGUGUUCGGUUGGUGAGUCUCUUUGCCGUCGCUAUCGCCGGGCGGCCUCUUCCCCUUAUGUUCGGCAUUUAACUUGCCGGCCUGUUUGAAAACCCAACAGCUUCUGUUGGUGUGAUUAGCUGGUUUAUUGGGGUGACCAUGAAUCUGGCAGGGCCUAUCCAAUAUCUUGUCUAAAUUGAAUGGUCCGUCCCUAUUUACCGUGAAUGGCUUUUUCCGUUGGCCGGGUCUGGGGCCGCUGAAUCCGGCGUUGACCGCUGUAUCAUUGUUAUUGCGGUGUUUGCAUUUAUUGCGUCGUGUCUUCCCAUUGCCGUCCCGGACUUCGGAAGUGCUCAGGUCGCUGGCGCUAUUGAGAAACAGUAAAACGGGGCGAGCUACAGCUCCCCACAGCGAUUUGAAGUUCUUGGCCGUCCGAUCACACUUAUCCACGGUUCACAUCACUGGGUCGUUUCACCGCUUGCAUGUGCUCGUUUCUUAACCUCUCAAAUCGCGCAACCUGCUCGGCCCACGAUAACUGGGCAGCUGCUCCGCAGCCCGACCGGGGAGUUAUCUCCUUAAUCGGGCCCGACAGGCAAAGGCGCCCAUAGGCCCAAUAACAGCAUACUCUCGAACCGCUUUGUGCUCUUCACCUAUCGCCAAUCUAUUCCAAUCCCCACGAGUCCGUUCGUCUCGGCGGCGGCUGCGCGCAGGGGGUCGCCUCAUUCCCAUGUCUCUCUGCUUCGCUCAUCCACGAACCUCCGUCUCGCCGCUGCCGUCGUCACCGCCACCGCCACCGCCCCCGUCAUUCCCCUCUGACUAUGUCUCCUCUGGCGAACCAUGGGUGUGCCGCCGCGGCCAGGGCCUAACCGUAGCCAUGCGUCCGUUUUCCUCCCCUGCUGCAACGCCGUGAGGGGCAGUAUCACCAACGCGAGAAGGAUAUGGAGGCAAUAAUGCGGUUGAUUUCUUAUACAUUGUUCGGUUCUACAUGCCUGCCCUUCUCUUUGCUUUGUGUUGUCCAAAUCUAUCUCAUAAGUCGUGAGUUCGUUCCGUGUUUUUUUUGGGUGGUUUCCCUCAGCCGAUGUAGCUAUAUUGAACGAAGAUUAUCUUCUACCGUUUUCUCCAUGGAUGCGUGAUGAUUCUUUCUUGCCGUGGCUUGGAUAUAGCUGCUCACUGCUCCCAUCUAAUGUGUAUCAUCGCAUUUUUUUAGGAGAAAAACUGUUUGAACUUUGAAGAUUUACGGGUACAACUUAUUUUUUAACCUUGGGCAAUGACAGCUUCAUGCAGUAAAUCCUGGAGCAUUUUUUAAAGUAUGCUUGUUUUAUUAUUCAGUAUAGUUAAAUAUUUCAGUUUGGGUAGCCAAAACUGAAGCCUUGCAUCUAUUUAAAAAUUAGAUACGAUUAUUACUCUAAUUGAUGCAGUUAAAUUUUUUGACUACCUAUGUAGGUAUUGCUUCGUCUGCACUUGCAAGAUCAAAAUAGGUAGUGCUUCAUCAAAAGCUAUUUUGUUUAACUUCCGACUUAUCCAUCCAUGCACUUUUCUGCCUACGGCAAAUCAUUGGUGCGUUGUUGCCACCGAGGAAAGGAGGAAGCACGAGGACCAGGAUGCAGCAUGGUCACAAAAGGUAAUGAAAGCCUUACAAUUGUCCAAUAGUUUGUCACCAAAUUUAGUCGUUCCUUGUCGCAAGUCAUGAAAAGGUUGCAAUUGAUCUCUUUUCCUGAAAAUGUGUGUCCUUGCAGAAAUAAAAUCUCGUGAAGAAGCAUUUGGUGUGUUUUGUGGAUUGAUCAAAUGCAUGCUUCCCAAGUCUUUUUCAAUAUAUUUUUUCUUACUACUAUAGAAAUGCAUCCAGUGACAUCGAUAAUAAGAAAUAGCCCAGCUUAAAAUAUGCAACAUAUUCUUUUGCUACAGACCUAUUUAACUUUCAUUUUCCGCAUCUAUACUUAUAGAAGUACAUAUCAUUUAUUUGUAAAAAUAGAUGAGCGCAGCAACACGCGCCAUAAUGAUCUAGUUGCUUCUGCGAGCGAGCCAGCUGUCUUCCCCUGCGCAAAAGCGGGUCAUCAAAGCCGUAAGGGCUGGCAUGGAUUUUGGUUUUUCCUGACCGAGGUGGCGGGCAAGCCGCUCAUCCCGGACACUGUGUUUGAAGGCCGCUAGGGCUUCUGCGUCCGGACAGUCUAUAAUUUGGUUCUUUUUAACUAAGAACCUAGUCCAGAGCUUCCCGGCGGACUCCCCGGGCUGCUAGACAAUGUGACUUAAAUCAUCGGCAUCCGGUGGCCGGACAUAUGUACCUUGGAAGUUGUCGCGGAAGGCGUCCUCCAGAUCCUCCCAGCUGCCAAUCGAGCUUUCAGGCAGACUGUUUAGUCAGUGCCGAGCUGGUCCUUUGAGUUUUAACGGGAGGUACUUGAUGGCAUGAAGAUCGUCUCCGUGGGCUAUAUGGAUGUGGAGAAGAAAAUCCUCGAUCCACACCGCGGGGUCUGUUGUUCCAUCGUAUGAUUCAAUAUUUACGGGCUUAAACCCUUCUAAGAAUUCGUGAUCCAUUACUUCGUCAGUGAAGCAAAGGGGGUGUGCGGCGCCUCUAUGUCGGGCCACGAUGCGACGUAUCUCUGAUGGAGCUCGUCUGCGAUUUUCGGCCCGGGCGUGACUAGGUUCGUCACGUCCGAAUAGAUAGCCGUCGUCGCAUAUUGAGGUGCGUCCUCGCGAUCCGUAGAUCGAUCUGGUAUGACCUUCUCUGUUGUCCAGGUCAUGCCGAAGGCCGUGUGCAUAAUCCCGAGUUGUUUUAUAUUUGUUUUCAUGCUCCGGUGGUGUAGGCUGCUGUUCAGUCCGAGUUGCCGCUUUAUCCCGACCGCGUGGUGGUUGGUCCGCCGCACAGUCCCGACCGCGUAGUGGUCAAUCGGCCGCAUUACACGAGGGAGGUAUGGGCUGCGGCGCCUCCUCAUCGGACUGACGUAGCAAUCUUCAUUUUGGGUAACUCUUGGCUAGGCGUUUGAGGCCGUAUUCUUCGGCUGCUAGGACAUCAGUCCAUCUGUCGUUGAGCAGAUCCUGGUCAGCUUGAAGCUGCUACCGUUUCUUCUUCAGGCUUCUUGCAGUGGCUAUGAGCCGGCGCUUGAAGCACUCCUGCUCAAAAGGUUCCUCUGGCAUGACGAAAUCCUCGUCGCCGAGGCUUGCCUCAUCUUCGGAGAGCGGAAGAUAAUUGUCAUCCGCCGAGUCGUCAUGUAUGGCCUUUUCAUCAGGGCUAACUUGCCCGUUUCCUGGUUUCCCCUGUUCGGGAGUUGCCUCAACAGGGUCUUCAUCGUUUUCGGCAUCGUCCGGAGUGUUAUUUUCUCCGGUGCCGGUAUUGCUGUGUUUUGAACGACGUGACUUGAAGCGACGUCGGGGACGCCGGCGUUUGGAUUGUGUCUCAGGAGGUUUAUCCUCGACUGGAUCUUCUUUGUCAUCGUCGUUGGUUUCUUUAGGUGUAUCCACCAUGUACACGUCGUACGAAGAAAUGGCCGUCCAGCGUUCAAUGAAUGGCGGGUUCUGGCCCUGCUCCUCGUCAGCAUCGUCGUCCAUAUAGUCGAUGUCUUCGGAGCCGUGAUCAAGCAUGUCAGUUAAGUCCUCGACAGUGGCUAUGAAGUGGGUGGCGGGUGGGAAGCAAAAUUCUCCAUCAUCAGCCCCUAGUUCGAACCGGACAUAGUUCGGCUGUGAGUCCCCCGCCAAGGACAGGUUCUUUAAUGAGUUUAGCACAUCGCCAAAGGGCGAGUGCUGGAAGAUGUCUACGGCGCUGAAUUCGAAGAUCGAUAACUGAUCAAGCUUGGCGUCCGCGGACGCACAUGGUUCGAAGCUUAUGGCCGGAGACGAGUCCGGAGUUCCGGUGACACAGAUAUCGUGUGGGGUUAAGUCUAUGUGUGGCUCCAUAGCCGCGGAAUCGGUGGCCUCCGUGGCGGGGUUGAGCUUCCCGUCCUCAGAUGGCGCGAUCUGCUCCGGAUCUAAGGCCAGAGCAGUUAUGGGAGCAAUCUCCUGAGUGUGGUCCGAUGACUGAUCUAGGUCAUGUUCAUCGGGGCGACAGGGAGCGGCCGACGCAGUCUCGAAUCCGGCGAAGAUCAAGUCUCCACAGAUGUCCGCGAUGUAGUUCAAGCUUCCGAAUCUGACCUGGUGGCCAGGGGCGUAGCUAUCGAUCUGCUCCAGAUGGUCAAGCGAGUUGGCCCGUAGUGCGAAGCCGCCGAACACGAAGAUCUGUCCGGGGAGGAAGGUUUCUCCUUGGACAGCGUCGUUGUUGAUGAUUGAAGGGGCCAACAAACCUUUAGGGGACGGCACAGUGGAACUCUCAAUGAAAGCACCAAUGUCGGUGUCAAAACCGGCGGAUCUCGGGUAGGGGGUCCCGAACUGUGCGUCUAAGGUCGAUGGUAACAGGAGACAGGGGACACAAUGUUUACCCAGGUUCGGGCCCUCUCUAUGGAGGUAAUACCCUACUUCCUGCUUGAUUGAUCUUGAUGAAUAUGAGUAUUACAAGAGUUGAUCUACCCCGAGAUCGUAAUGGCUAAACCCUAGAAGUCUAGCCUGUAUGACUAUGGUAAUGAAUAUCUCCUCUCCUCGGACUAACUCCUCGGUUUAUAUAGACACCGGGAGGAUCUAGGGUUACGUAAGGCUGGUUACAGAGAAAGGAAUCUACACAUUUGAUCGCUCAGCUUGCCUUCCACGCCAAGGAGAGUCCCAUCCGGACACGGGUAGAGUCUUCGGCCUUCGUAUCUUCAUAGCCCAUCAGUUCGGCCCAUGGCUAACAGGCCGGACGCCCGAGGACCCCUUAGUCCAGGACUCCCUCACUAGUCCCUUCUCGUCUCCAGCCCUACUUGUCAAGAAGAAGGACGACACUUGGCGCUUAUGCGUGGACUACCGCCGCCUCAACUCCAUGAUGGUGGUCGGCAAAUUUCCAGUACCAAUCAUCGAUGAACUAGCCGGCACCAAGUGGUUCUCGAAGCUCGACCUGCGUGCCGGAUUCCAUCAAAUAAGAAUGGCCAAAGGCGAGGAGUAUAAAACAACAUUCCAGACACGCUCCGGGCACUGGGAAUACCGCGUCAUGCCUUUCGGAGUGGCAGGAGGCCCGGCCACAUUCAACGGGGGCAUGCACACUACUCUACGUCCAGUCAUGCGCGAGUGUGUUAUCUCCUUCUUCGGCAACAUUCUCAUCUUCAGCAAAACCCUGACUGAGCACAUCCAGCACAUUGCACGCGUGCUUCAGCUACUCAGAGACGACCACUAGCAAGUUAAACAGUCCAAGUGCUCCUUCGCUCAGCGCCAGAUCGCCUACUUGGGCCAUGUGAUAGAUGAGCGCGGCGUCUCUACCGACCCCAGCAAGGUUCAGACAAUCCAACAGUGGCCUACUCCCCAAUGCGCCAAAGACGUGCGCAUCUUCCUUGGCCUUGCCGGCUAUUAUCGGAAUUUUGUCCAACAUUUUGGGAUCAUCUCAAGACCACUGUUCACCUUGCUCAAGAAAAACCAUCAAUUUGUUUGGACAAGCAACACACAGAAGGCGUUUGAAGCUCACCUCUGCACCUGUACUGUAACUUCCAGAUUUCAGUAAGAAGUUCGUGGUCGACACUGAUGCAUGAGCCUAUGAUGUCGGAGCUGUUCUUCAGCAAGACGGGCACCCGAUAGCUUACAUGAGCAAGCCACUCGGCCCCAAGAACCGUGGCCUUUCUACUUAUGAGAAAGAGUGCAUGGCCAUCCUCAUGGUAGUGGAGCAAUGACGCCCUUACCUGCACAAUGAUGAAUUCAUCAUCCGUACAGAUCAACGAAGCCUAGUGCAUCUUGACGAUCAACACUUGUCCACCCCGUGGCAGCAGAAAGCGUUCACCAAACUGCUCGGGACACGCUACAAAAUCUGCUAUCGCCCCGAGUCUUCCAACACUGUUGCUGAUGUUGGGGAACGUAGUAAUUUCAAAAAAAUUCUACGCACACGCAAGAUCAUGGUGAUGCAUAGCAACGAGAGGGGAGAGUGUUGUCCACGUACCCUCGUAGACCGAAAGCGGAAGCGUUAACACAACGCGGUUGAUGUAGUCGUACGUCUUCACGAUCCGACCGAUCAAGUACCGAACGCACGGCACCUCCGAGUUCAGCACACGUUUAGCUCGAUGACGUCCCUCGAACUCCGAUCCAGCCGAGUGUUGAGGGAGAGUUUCGUCAGCACGACGGCGUGGUGACAAUGUUGAUGUUCUACCGACGCAGGGCUUCGCCUAAGCACCGCUAUGAUAUUAUCGAGGUGUAAUAUGGUGGAGAGGGGCACCGCACACGGCUAAGAGAUCAAUGAUCAAUUGUGUGUCUCGAGGUGCCCCCCUGCCCCCGUAUAUAAAGGAGCAAGGGGGGGUUCGGCCGGCCAAGGGGAGAGGCGCGCCAGGAGGAGUCCUACUCCUACCGGGAGUAGAACUCCCCCCCUUUUCCAUGUUGGACUAGGAGAGAGAGGGGGAAGAGGUGGAGGGGAGGGAGGAAGGGGGGCGCCGCCCCCCUCUCCUUGUCCUAUUCGGAUUGGGGGGGAGGGGCGUGCGGCCCUGCCCUCGCCUCCUCUCCUCUCUUCCACCUAGGCCCACUAAGGCCCAUUAAGUUACCGGGGGGUUCCGGUAACCUCCCGGUACUCCGGAAAAAUCCCGAUUUCACCCGGAACACUUCCGAUGUCCAAACAUAGGCUUCCAAUAUAUCAAUCUUUAUGUCUCGACCAUUUCGAGACUCCUCGUCAUGUCCGUGAUCACAUCCGGGACUCCGAACAACCUUCGGUACAUCAAAACAUAUAAACUCAUAAUAUAACUGUCAUCGUAACGUUAAGCGUGCGGACCCUACGGGUUCGAGAACUAUGUAGACAUGACCGAGACACCUCUCCGGUCAAUAACCAAUAGCGGAACCUGGAUGCUCAUAUUGAUUCCCACAUAUUCUACGAAGAUCUUUAUCGGUCAGACCGCAUAACAACAUACGUUGUUCCCUUUGUCAUCGGUAUGUUACUUGCCCGAGAUUCGAUCGUCGGUAUCUCGAUACCUAGUUCAAUCUCGUUACCGGCAAGUCUCUUUACUCGUUACGUAAUACAUCAUCCCGCAACUAACUCAUUAGUCACAAUGCUUGCAAGGCUUAUAGUGAUGUGUAUUACUGAGUGGGCCCAGAGAUACCUCUCCGACAAUCGGAGUGACAAAUCCUAAUCUCGAAAUACGCCAACCCAACAAGUACCUUUGGAGACACCUGUAGAGCACCUUUAUAAUCACCUAGUUACGUUGUGACGUUUGGUAGCACACAAAGUGUUCCUCCGGCAAACGGGAGUUGCAUAAUCUCAUAGUCAUAGGAACAUGUAUAAGUCAUGAAGAAAGCAAUAGCAACAUACUAAACGAUCGAGUGCUAAGCUAACGGAAUGGGUCAAGUCAAUCACAUCAUUCUCCUAAUGAUGUGAUCCCGUUAAUCAAAUGACAACUCAUGUCUAUGGCUAGGAAACAUAACCAUCUUUGAUCAACGAGCUAGUCAAGUAGAGGCAUACUAGUGACACUCUGUUUGUCUAUGUAUUCACACAUGUAUUAUGUUUCCGGUUAAUACAAUUCUAGCAUGAAUAAUAAACUUUUAUCAUGAUAUAAGGAAAUAAAUAAUAACUUUAUUAUUGCCUCUAGGGCAUAUUUCCUUCAGCUGAUGCCCUGUCGCGUUGCACUCCUGAGGAUUCGGUGUCGGCCAUAUCGGUCUGUACACCUGCUUGGCUGGACGACAUCGUCGCAAGCUACAACGCAAACCCCCAAGUUCAGAAGAUUCUGGAAGACUUGUCCAAACGACCGGACCCAAAAGGGUGUUUCUCCACGCCCAAUGGAUUGCUCUACUUCCGCGAUCGGCUCUGGCUGGGCGGCUCCCCUGCCCUAUAGCAACGGAUGCUCCGGUGUACCAUGACAGCACCAUGGGUGGUCACUCCGGCGUGCCAGUCACCUAUCGCUGCCUCCGGUGCAUCUUCGCCUGGCCCAAGAUGAAGGAACACACACGCUAGUACGUCCAAUCCUGCUCCGUCUGCCAACAAGCGAAACCGAAACCAGAGCGCGUUCGCUAUCCAGGACUGUUCGAGCCACUUCCGAUACCUGACGGUGCCUGGAAAGUGGUCCAUGGACUUCGUCGACGGCCUCCCUUCUUCGGGCAGGUACAACUGCAUCCUUGUCAUCGUCGACAAGUUCACUCGCUACGCCCAUUUCCUCUCUCUGAGCCACCCAUUCACGGCGGCCAAAGUUGCUCACGCCUACCUGGAGAACAUAUACAAGCUCCAUGGACUCCCAGAGGCGAUCGUGUUGGACAGAGAUCCCGUGUUCACGAGCAAAUUCUGGCAAGAACUAUUCAAGAUCAUCGGGUCUGAACUCAACAUGAGCACGCCGUAUCACCCACAAACUGACGGCCAGACGGAGCGAGUCAACCAGUGCCUGGAAAUCUACCUAUGGUGCUUCACCCAUGCCUGCCCAAGCAAAUGGCACCAGUACCUCGCCCUCGCAGAAUUCUGGUACAACUCCUCCUUUCAUUCAUCCCUGGGCACCUCACCUUUUUGUUGCUCUGUAUGGACAUGAACCUCGCCACUGGGGCAUCGAGGCGGCUUCUACUUGCUCCAUUCCCUCCCUCAAGGACUGGCUCGAGGAACGCAAGCACGUGCAGCAAGUUCUGUCCGAACACCUUCACCGAGCUCGUAACAUCAUGAAGACUCAGGCCGACAAGAAGCGCACGGAGCGCUCCUUCGUCGUGGGGGACACCGUCUUCGUCAAGCUCCAACCCUACGUGCAAACGAUGGUGGCGCGUCAUACCAACCACAAGUUGUCCUUCCGCUACUUCGGACCCUACAAGAUCAUCCGCGUCGUCAACCCCGUCGCCUAUUGAUGUCUACUGCGCAACCUUCUUCUUGUAGACGUUGUUGGGCCUCCAAGUGCAGAGGUUUGUAGGACAGUAGCAAAUUUCUCUCAAGUGGAUGACCUAAGGUUUAUCAAUCCGUGGGAGGCGUAGGAUGAAGAUGGUCUCUCUCAAGCAACCGUGCAACCAAAUAACAAAGAGCCUCUUGUGUCCCCAACGCACCCAAUACAAUGGUAAAUUGUAUAGGUGCACUAGUUCGGCGAAGAGAUGGUGAUACAAGUGCAAUAUGGAUGGUAGAUAUAGGUUUUUGUAAUCUGAAAAUAUAAAAACAGCAAGGUAACUAAUGAUAAAAGUGAGCACAAACGGUAUUGCAAUGCUAGGAAACAAGGCCUAGGGUUCAUACUUUCACUAGUGCAAGUUCUCUCAACAAUAAUAACAUAAUUGGAUCAUAUAACUAUCCCUCAACAUGCAACAAAGAGUCACUCCAAAGUCACUAAUAGCGGAGAACAAACGAAGAGAUUAUGGUAGGGUACGAAACCACCUCAAAGUUAUUCUUUCCAAUCAAUCCGUUGGGCUAUUCCUAUAAGUGUCACAAACAGCCCUAGAGUUCAUACUAGAAUAACACCUUAAGACACAAAUCAACCAAAACCCUAAUGUCACCUAGAUACUCCAAUGUCACCUCAAGUAUCCGUGGGUAUGAUUAUACGAUAUGCAUCACACAAUCUCAGAUUCAUUUAUUCAACCAACACAUAGAACCUCAAAGAGUGCCCCAAAGUUUCUACCGGAGAAUCAAGACGAAAACGUGUGCCAACCCCUAUGCAUAGGUUCAUGGGCGAAACCCGCAAGUUGAUCACCAAAACAUACAUCAAGUGAAUCACGUGAUAUCCCAUUGUCACCACAGAUAUGCACGGCAAGACAUACAUCAAGUGUUCUCAAAUCAUUAAAGACUCAAUCCGAUAAGAUUACUUCAAAGGAAAAACUCAAUCCAUUACAAGAGAGUAGAGGGGGAGACGAAACAUAAGAUCCAACUAUAAUAGCAAAGCUCGCGAUACAUCAAGAUCGUGCCAAAUCAAGAACACGAGAGAUAGAGAUCAAACACAUAGCUACUAGUACAUACCCUCAGCCCCGAGGGUGAACUACUCCCUCUCAUCAUGGAGAGCUCCGGGAUGAUGAAUAUGGCCACCGGUGAGGGAUCCCCCCUCCGGCAAGGUGCCGGAACGGGCUCCCGAGAGGUUUUUGGUGGCUACAGAGGCUUGCGGCGGCGGAACUCCCGAUCUAUUCUGUUUUUCGAUGGUUUUAGGGUAUAUUGGUAUAUAUAGGAGGAAGAAAUACGUCAGGGGAGCCACGAGGGUGGAAGGCGCGCCCAGGGGGGUGGGCGCGCCCCCUACCUCGUGCCUCCCUCGUUGCUUUCUUGACGUGGACUCCAAGUCUCCCGGGUUGCUUUCCUUCCAAAAAUAACUUCUCCAGAAGGUUUCAUUCCGUUUCGACUCCGUUUGAUAUUCCUUUUCUUCGAAACACUAAAACAAGGGAAAAAACAGGAACUGGCACUGGGCUCUGGGUCGAAUAGGUUAGUCCCAAAAAUAAUAUAAAAGUGUUUAAUAAAGCCCAUAAACAUCCAAAACAGAUAAUAUAAUAGCAUGAAACAAUCAAUAAUUAUAGAUACGUUGGAGACGUAUCAGCAUCCCCAAGCUUAAUUCCUGCUCGUCCUCGAGUAGGUAAAUGAUAAAAACGGAAUUUUUGAUGUGGAAUGCUACCUAACAUAUUUAUCCAUGUAAUUCUCUUUAUUGUGGCAAGAAUAUUCAGAUCCAUAAGAUUCAAGACAAAAGUUUAAUAUUGACAUGAAAACAAUAAUACUUCAAGCAUACUAACAAAGCAAUCAUGUCUUCUCAAAAUAACAUGGCCAAAGAAAGUUAUCCCUACAAAAUCAUAUAGUCUGGCUAUGCUCUAUCUUCACCACACAAAGUAUUUAAAUCAUGCACAACCCCGAUGACAAGCCAAGCAAUUGUUUCAUACUUUUGGUGUUCUCAAACUUUUUCAAUCUUCAGGCAAUACAUGAGCAUGAGCCAUGGACAUAGCACUAUAGGUGGAAUAGAAUGGUGGUUGUGGAGAAGACAAAAAGGAGAAGAUAGUCUCACAUCAACUAGGCGUAUCAACGGGCUAUGGAGAUGCCCAUCAAUAGAUAUCAAUGUGAGUGAGUAGGGAUUGCCAUGCAACGGAUGCACUAGAGCUAUAAGUAUAUGAAAGCUCAACAAAAGAAACUAAGUGGGUGUGCAUCCAACUCGCUUGCUCACGAAGACCUAGGGCAUUUUGAGGAAGCCCAUCAUUGGAAUAGACAAGCCAAGUUCUAUAAUGAAAGAUUCCCACUAGUAUAUGAAAGUGACAACAUAGGAGACUCUCUAUCAUGAAGAUCAUGGUGCUACUUUGAAGCACAAGUAUGGUAAAAGGAUAGUAGCAUUGUCCCUUCUCUCUUUUUCUCUCAUUCAUUUUUUUAUUUUUUUAUUUGGGCCUUUUCUCUUUUUUAUGGCCUCUUUUUUUUUAGUCCGGAGUCUCAUCCCGACUUGUGGGGGAAUCAUAGUCUCCAUCAUCCUUUCCUCACUGGGACAAUGCUCUAAUAAUGAUGAUCAUCACACUUUUAUUUACUUACAACUCAAGAAUUACAACUCAAUACUUAGAACAAGAUAUGACUCUAUAUGAAUGCCUCCGGCGGUGUACCGGGAUGUGCAAUGACUCAUGAGUGACAUGUAUGAAAGAAUUAUGAACGGUGGCUUUGCCACAAAUACAAUGUCAACUACAUGAUCAUGCAAAGCAAUAUGACAAUGAUGGAGCGUGUCAUAAUAAACGGAACGGUGGAAAGUUGCAUGGCAAUAUAUCUCAGAAUGGCUAUGGAAAUGCCAUAAUAGGUAGGUAUGGUGGCUGUUUUUAGGAAGGUAUAUGGUGGGUGUAUGAUACCGGCGAAAGGUGCGCGGUAUUAGAGAGGCUAGCAAUGGUGGAAGGAUGAGAGUGCGUAUAAUCCAUGGACUCAACAUUAGUCAUAAAUAACUCACAUACUUAUUGCAAAAAUCUAUUAGUUAUCGAAACAAAGUACUACGCGCAUGCUCCUAGGGGGAUAGAUUGGUAGGAAAAGACCAUCGCUCGUCCCCGACCGCCACUCAUAAGGAAGACAAUCAAUAAAUAAAUCAUGCUCCGACUUCAUCACAUAACGGUUCACCAUACGUGCAUGCUAUGGGAAUCACAAACUUUAACACAAGUAUAUCUCAAAUUCACAACUACUCUACUAGCAUGACUCUAAUAUCACCAUCUUCAUAUCUCAAAACAAUCAUAAAGAAUCAAACUUCUCAUAGUAUUCAAUGCACUUUAUAUGAAAGUUUUUAUUAUACCCAUCUUGGAUGUCUAUCAUAUUAGGACUAGAUUCAUAACCAAAGCAAAUUACCAUGCUGCUCUAAAGACUCUCAAAAUAAUAUAAGUGAAGCAUGAGAGUUCACCUAUUUCUUCAAAAUAAAACCACUGUCGUGCUCUAAAAGAUAUAAGUGAAGCACUAGAGCAAAUGACAAACUACUCCGCAAGAUAUAAGUGAAGAUCAAUGAGUAGUUGAAUAAAUAUGUAACUAUGUGAAGACUCUCCCAUUUUAAGAAUUUCAGAUCUUGAUAUUUUUAUUCAAACAGCAAGCAAAACAAAAUAAAAUGACAUGACGCUCCAAGCAAAACACAUAUCAUGUGGUGAAUAAAAAUAUAGCUCCAAGUAAAGUUACCGAUGAACGAAGACGAAAGAGGGGAUGCCUUCCGGGGCAUCCCCAAGCUUAGGCUCUUGGUUGUCCUUGAAUAUUACCUUGGGGUGCCUUGGGCAUCCCCAAUCUUAGGCUCUUGCCACUCCUUAUUCCAUAGUCCAUCGAAUCUUUACCAAAAACUUGAAAAUUUCACAACACAAAACUUAACAGAAAACUCGUAAGCUCCGUUAGUGAAAGAAAACAAAACACCACUUCAAGGUACUUUAUUGAACUCAUUCUUUAUUUAUAUUGGUGUUAAAUCUACUGUAUUCCAACUUCUCUAUGGUUUAUAAACUAUUUUACUAGCCAUAGAUUCAUCAAAAUAAGCAAACAACACACGAAAAACAGAAUCUGUCAAAAACAGAACAGUCUGUAGUAAUCUGUAACUAACGCAAACUUAUGGAACUUCAAAAAUUCUAAAAUAAAUUGGUGGACCUGAGGAAUUUGGCUAGUAAUCAUCUGCAAAAAGAAUCAACUAAAUAGCACUCUCCAGUAAAAAGUUUUAGCUAAUCUCGUGAGCGCUAAAGUUUCUGUUUUUUUCAGCAUGAUCAUAAAGACUUCACCCAAGUCUUCCCAAAGGUUCUACUUGGCACAAACACUAAUUAAAACACAAAACCACAUCUAAACAGAAGCUAGAUGGAUUAUUUAUUCCUAAACAGAACCAAAAAGCAAGAAACUAAAAUAAAAUAGGGUUGCCUCCCAACAAGCGCUAACGUUUAACGCCCCUAGCUAGGCAUGAUGAUUUCAAUGAUGCUCACAUAAAAGAUAAGAAUUGAAACAUAAAGAGAGCAUCAUGAAGAAUAUGACUAUCACAUUUAAGCCUAACCUACUUCCUAUGCAUAGGGAUUUUGUGAGCAAACAACUUAUGAGAACAAUAAUCAACUAGCAUAGGAAGGCAAAACAAGCAUAACUUUAAAACUUUAAGCACAUCGAGAGGAAACUUGAUACUAUUGCAAUUCCUACAUGAAGGAAAUAUGCCCUAGAGGCAAUAAUAAAGUUAUUAUUUAUUUCCUUAUAUCAUGAUAAAUGUUUAUUAUUCAUGCUAGAAUUGUAUUAACCGGAAACAUAAUACAUGUGUGAAUACAUAGACAAACAGAGUGUCACUAGUAUGCCUCUACUUGACUAGCUCGUUAAUCAAAGAUGGUUAUGUUUCCUAGCCAUAGACAUGAGUUGUCAUUUGAUUAACGGGAUCACCUCAUUAGGAAAAUGACGUGAUUGACUUGACCCAUUCCGUUAGCUUAGCACCCGAUCGUUUAGUAUGUUGCUAUUGCUUUCUUCAUGACUUAUACAUGUUCCUAUGACUAUGAGAUUAUGCAACUCCCGUUUACCGGAGGAACACUUUGUGUGCUACCAAACGUCACAACGUAAAUGGGUGAUUAUAAAGGUGCUCUACAGGUGUCUCCAAAGGUACUUGUUGGGUUGGCGUAUUUCAAGAUUAGGAUUUGUCACUCCGAUUGUCGGAGAGGUAUCUCUGGGCCCACUCGGUAAUGCACAUCACUAUAAGCCUUGCAAGCAUUGUGACUAAUAAGUUAGUUGCGGGAUGAUGUGUUACGGAACGAGUAAAGAGACUUGCCGGUAACGAGAUUGAACUAGGUAUCGAGAUACCGACGAUCGAAUCUCGGGCAAGUAACAUACUGAUGACAAAGGGAACAACGUAUGUUGUUAUGCGGUCUGACCGAUAAAGAUCUUCGUAGAAUAUGUGGGAGCCAAUAUGGGCAUCCAGGUCCCGCUAUUGGUUAUUGACCGGAGACGUGUCUCGGUCAUGUCUACAUAGUUCUCGAACCUGUAGGGUCCGCACGCUUAAAGUUACGAUGACAGUUUUAUUAUGAGUUUAUGUAUGUUGAUGUACCGAAGGAGUUCGGAGUCCCGGAUGAGAUCGGGGACAUGACGAGGAGUCUCGAAAUGGUCGAGACGUAAAGAUCGAUAUAUUGGACGACUAUAUUCGGACUUCGGAAAGGUUCCGAGUGAUUCGGGUAUUUUUCGGAGUACCGGAGAGUUACGGGAAUACGUAUUGGGCCUUAUUGGGCCAUACGGGAAAGAAGGAAAAGGGCCUCAAGGGUGGCCGCACCCCUCCCCUUGGUCUGGUCCGAAUUGGACUAGGGAAGGGGGGCGCCCCCUUCCUUCCUUCUCUUUUUCCCUUCCUCUUUUCCUAUUCCAUAUGGGAGGUGGAAUCCUACUAGGACUAGGGAGUCCUAGUAGGACUCCACACUUGGUGCGCCCCCUCCUAGGGCCGGCCUCCUCCUCCCUUGCUCCUUUAUAUACGGGGGCAGGGGGCACCCCAGAGACACAACAAUUGAUCCUUGAGAUCUCUUAGCCGUGUGCGGUCAUAUUACACCUCGAUAAUACCGUUGCGGAGCUUAGGCGAAGCCCUGCGUCGGUGGAACAUCAUCAUCGUCACCACGCCGUCGUGCUGACGAAACUCUCCCUCAACACUCGGCUGGAUCGGAGUUCGAGGGACGUCAUCGAGCUGAACGUGUGUAGAACUCGGAGGUGCCGUACGUUCGGUACUUGAUCGGUCGGAUCGUGAAGACGUACGACUACAUCAACCGCGUUGUGAUAAUGCUUCCGCUGUCGGUCUACGAGGGUACGUGGAUAACACUCUCCCCUCUCGUUGCUAUGCAUCACCAUGAUCUUGCGUGUGCGUAGAAUUUUUUUGAAAUUACUACGUUCCCCAACAGUGGUAUCAGAGCCUGGUUUCAUGCGUUGAUGCUAUGCACGAGUAGAACACAAGUGAGUUGUGGGCGAUAUAAGUCAUACUGCUUACCGGCAUGUCAUACUUUGGUUCAGCGGUAUUGUGAGAUGAAGCGGCCCGGACCGACAUUACGCGUACGCUUACGCGAGACUGGUUUCACCGUUGCGAGCACUCGUUGCUUAAAGGUGACUGGCGGGUGUCUGUCUCUCUCACUUUAGUUGAACCGAGUGUGGCUACGCCCGGUCCUUGCGAAGGUUAAAACAGCACCAACUUGACAAACUAUCGUUGUGGUUUUGAUGCGUAGGUAAGAACGGUUCUUGCUUAGCCCGUAGCAGCCACGUAAAACUUGCAACAACAAAGUAGAGGACGUCUAACUUGUUUUUGCAGGGCAUGUUGUGAUGUGAUAUGGUCAAGACAUGAUGUGAUAUAAUUUGUUGUAUGAGAUGAUCAUGUUUUGUAACCGAGUUAUCGGCAACUGGCAGGAGCCAUAUGGUUGUCGCUUUAUUGUAUGAGAUGCUAUCACCAUGUAAUAGUUUUACUUUAUCACUAAGCGGUAGCGAUAGUCGUAAAAGCAAUUAUUUGUCGAGACGACAACGAUACUACGAUGGAGAUCAAGGUGUCGCGCCGGUGACGAUGGUGAUCAUGACGGUGCUUCGGAGAUGGAGAUCACAAGCACGGUGUUUCGGAGAUGGAGAUCACAAGCACAAGAUGAUGAUGGCCAUAUCAUAUCACUUAUAUUGAUUGCAUGUGAUGUUAAUCCUUUAUGCAUCUUAUCUUGCUUUGUUUGACGGUAGCAUUAUAAGAUGAUCCUUCACUAAAUUAUCAAAGUAUAAGUGUUCUCCCUGAGUAUGCACCGUUGCGAAAGUUCUUCGUGCUGAGACACCACGUGAUGAUCGGGUGUGAUAGGCUCUACGUUCAAAUACAACGGGUGCAAAACAGUUGCACACGAGGAAUACUCAGGUUAAACUUGACGAGCCUAGCAUAUAACAUAUAUGGCCUCGGAACACGGAGACCGAAAGGUCGAGCGUGAAUCAUAUAGUAGAUAUGAUCAACAUAGUGAUGUUCACCGUUGAAACUACGCCAUCUCACGUGAUGAUCGGACAUGGUUUAGUUGAUAUGGAUCACGUGAUCACUUAGAGGAUUAGAGGGAUGUCUAUCUAAGUGGGAGUUCUUAAGUAAUAUGAUUAAUUGAACUUAAAUUUAUCAUGAACUUAGUCCUGAUAGUAUUUUGCAAAUUAUGUUGUAGAUCAAUAGCUCGCGUUGUUGCUUCCAUGUUUUAUUUUUGAUAUGUUCCUAGAGAAAAUUAUGUUGAAAGAUGUUAGUAGCAAAGAUGCGGAUUGGAUCCGUGAUCUGAGGAUUAUCCUCAUUGCUGCACAGAAAAAUUAUGUCCUUGAUGCACCGCUAGGUGACAGACCUAUUGCAGGAGCAGAUGCAGACGUUAUGAAUGUUUGGCUAGCUCAAUAUGAUGACUACUUGAUAGUUUAGUGCACCAUGCUUAAAGGCUCAGAAUCGGGACUUCAAAGACGUUUUGAAUGUCAUGGACCAUAUGAGAUGUUCUAGGAGUUGAAGUUAAUAUUUCAAGCAAAUACCCGAGUUGAGAGAUAUGAAGUCUCCAACAAGUUCUAUAGCUAAAAGAUGGAGGAGAAUCGCUCAACUAGUGAGCAUGUGCUCAGAUUGUCUGGGUACUACAAUCGCUUGAAUCAAGUGGGAGUUUAUCUUCCAGAUAAAAUAAUGAUUGACAGAAUUCUCUAAUCACCAUCACCAAGUUAGUAGAACUUCGAACUAUAGUAUGCAAGGGAUGACGAAAGUAAUUCCCGAGCUCUUCGUGAUGCUGAAAUCGACGAAGGUAGAAAUCAAGAAAAACAUCAAGUGUUGAUGGUUGACGAGACCACUAGUUUCAAGAAAAGGGCAAAGGGAAGAAGGGGAACUUCAAAAAGAACGGCAAGCAAGUUGCUACUCAAGUGAAGAAGCCCAAGUCUGUACCUAAGCCUGAGACUAAGUGCUUCUACUGCAAAGGGACUGGUCACUGGAGGCGGAACUGCCCCAAGUAUUUGGUGGAUAAGAAGGAUGGCAAAGUGAACAAAGGUAUAUUGGAUAUACAUGUUAUUGAUGUGUACUUACUAGUGUUUAUAGCAACCCCUCAGUAUUUGAUACUGGUUCAGUUGCUAAAGAGUAGUAACUCGAAACGGGAGUUGCAGAAUAAACAGAGACUAGUAAAAGGCGAGGUGACGAUGUGUGUUGGAAGUAGUUCCAAGAUUGAUAUGAUCAUCAUCGCACACUCCCUGUACUUUCGGGAUUAGUGUUGAAACUAAAUAAGUGUUAUUUGGUGUUUGCGUUGAGCAUGAAUAUGAUUUGAUCAUGUUUAUUGCAAUAUUCAUUUAAGUUAGAGAACAAUUGUUGUUCUGUUUACAUGAAUAAAACCUUCUAUGGUCAUACACACCAACGAAAAUGGUUUGUUGGAUCUCGAUCGUAGUGAUACACAUAUUCAUAAUAUUGAAGCCAAAAGAUGCAAAGUUAAUAAUGAUAGUGCAACUUAUUUGUGGCACUGCCCUUUAGGUCAUAUUGGUGUAAAGCGCAUGAAGAAACUCCAUACUGAUGGGAUUUUGGAAUCACUUGAUGCUUGCGAACCGUGCCUCAUGGGCAAGAUGACUAAAACGCCGUUCUCCGGAACUAUGGAGAGAGCAAUAGAUUUGUUGGAAAUCAUACAUACAGAUGUAUGUGGCCCGAUGAAUAUUGAGGCUCGUAACAGGUAUCAUUAUUUUCUGACCUUCACAGAUGAUUUGAGCAGAUAUAGGUAUAUCUACUUGAUGAAACACAAGUCUGAAACAUUUGAAAAGUUCAAAGAAUUUCAGAGUGAAGUGGAGAAUCAUCGUAACAAGAAAAUAAAAGUUUCUACGAUUUGAUCGUGGAGAAGAGUAUUUUAGUUACGAGUUUGGCCUUCAGUUAAAACAAUGUGAAAUAGUUUCACUACUCACGCCACCUGGAACACCACAGCAUAAUGGUGUGUCCGAACGUCAUAACCGUACUUUAUUGGAUAUAGUGCAAUCUAUGAUGUCUCUUACCAAUUUACCACUAUCGUUUUGGGUUAUGCAUUAGAGACAGCUACAUUCACAUUAAAUAGGGCACCAUCAAAAUCCGUUGAGACGACGCCUUAUGAACUGUGGUUUGGCAAGAAACCAAAGUUGUCGUUUCUUAAAGUUUGGGGUUGCGAUGCUCAUGUGAAAAAGUUUCAUCCUGAUAAGCUCAAACCCAAAUCGGAGAAAUGUGUCUUCAUAGGAUACCCAAAGGAGACAGUUGGGUACCCCUUCUAUCACAGAUCCGAAGGCAAGACAUUCGUUGCUAGGAAUGGAUCCUUUCUAGAGAAGGAGUUUCUCUCGAAAGAAGUGAGUGGGAGGAAAAUAGAACUUGAUGAGGUAACUGUACCUGCUCCCUUAUUGGAAAGUAGUUCAUCACAGAAAUCUGUUCCUGUGACUUCUACACCAAUUAGUGAGGAAGUUAAUGAUGAUGAUCAUGUAACUUCAGAUCAAGUUACUACCAAACCUCGUAGGUAAACCAGAGUAAGAUCCGCACCAGAGUGGUACGGUAAUGCUGUUCUGGAGGUUAUGUUACUAGACCAUGACGAACCUACGAACUAUGAAGAAGCGAUGGUGAGCCCAGAUUCCGCAAAAUGGCUUGAGGCCAUGAAAUCUGAGAUGAGAUCCAUGUAUGAGAACAAAGUGUGGACUUUGGUUGACUUGCCCGAUGAUCGGCAAGCAAUUGAGAAUAAAUGGAUCGUCAAGAGGAAGACGGACGCUGAUAGUAGUGUUGCUAUCUACAAAGCUAGAAUUGUCGCAAAAAGGUUUUUCGACAAGUUCAAGGUGUUGACUACGAUGAGAGUUUCUCACUCGUAUCUAUGCUUAAGUCUGUCUGAAUCAUGUUAGCAAUUGCCGCAUUUUAUGAAAUCUGGCAAAUGGAUAAACAAAACUGCAUUCCUUAAUGGAUUUAUUAAAGAAGAGUUGUAUAUGAUGCAACCAGAAGGUUUUGUCAAUCCUAAAGGUGCUAACAAAAUAUGCAAGCUCCAGCGAUCCAUCUAUGGACUGGUGCAAGCAUCUCGGAGUUGGAAUAUACGCUUUGAUAAGUUGAUCAAAGGAUAUAGUUUUAUACAGACUUGCGGUGAAGCCUGUAUUUACAAGAAAGUGAGUGGGAGCACUACAGCAUUUCUGAUAAGUAUAUGUGAAUGACAUAUUGUUGAUCAUAAAUAAUGUAGAAUUAUUCUGCAAAGCAUAAAGGAGUGUUUGAAAGGAGUUUUUCAAACAAAGACUUCGGUGAAGCUGCUUACAUAUUGAGCAUCAAGAUCUAUAGAGAUAGAUCAAGACGCUUGAUAAAGUUUUCAAUGAGUACAUACCUUAACAAGAUUUUGAAGUAGUUCAAAAUAGAACAGUCAAGGAAAGAGUUCUUGCCUGUGUUACAAGGUGUGAAAUUGAGUAAGACUCAAAACCCGACCACGGCAGAAGAUAGAAAAAGAAUGAAAGUCAUUCCCUAUGCCUCGGCCAUAGGUUCUAUAAAGUAUGCCAUGCUGUGUACCAGAUCUAUUGUAUACCCUACACUGAUUUUGGCAAGGGAGUACAAUAGUGAUCUAGGAGUAGAUCACUGGACAGCGGUCAAAAUUAUCCUUAGUGGAAUAAGGAUAUGUUUCUCGAUUAUGGAAGUGACAAAAGGUUCGUCGUAAAGGGUUACGUCUAUGCAAGUUUUGACACUAAUCUAGAUAACUCUAAGUCUCGGUCUAGAUACAUAUUGAAAGUGGGAGCAAUUAGCUAGAGUAGCUCCAUGCAGAGCAUUGUAGACAUAGAAAUUUGCAAAAUACUUACGGAUCUGAAUAUGACAGACCCGUUGACUAAAAAUUAUCUCACAAGCAAAACAUGAUCACACCUUAGUACCCUUUGGGUGAUGGUCACAUGACGAUGUGAACUAUGGGUGUUAAUCACAUGGUGAUGUGAACUAUUCAUGUUAAAUCACAUGGCGAUGUGAACUAGAUUAUUAACUCUAGUGCAAGUGGGAGACUGAAGGAAAUAUGCCCUAGAGGCAAUAAUAAAGUUAUUAUUUAUUUCCUUAUAUCAUGAUAAAUGUUUAUUAUUCAUGCUAGAAUUGUAUUAACCGGAAACAUAAUACAUGUGUAAAUACAUAGACAAACAGAGUGUCACUAGUAUGCCUCUACUUGACUAGCUCGUUAAUCAAAGAUGGUUAUGUUUCCUAGCCAUAGACAUGAGUUGUCAUUUGAUUAACGGGAUCACCUCAUUAGGAAAAUGACGUGAUUGACUUGACCCAUUCCGUUAGCUUAGCACCCGAUCGUUUAGUAUGUUGCUAUUGCUUUCUUCAUGACUUAUACAUGUUCCUAUGACUAUGAGAUUAUGCAACUCCCGUUUACCGGAGGAACACUUUGUGUGCUACCAAACGUCACAACGUAAAUGGGUGAUUAUAAAGGUGCUCUACAGGUGUCUCCAAAGGUACUUGUUGGGUUGGCGUAUUUCGAGAUUAGGAUUUGUCACUCCGAUUGUCGGAGAGGUAUCUCUGGGCCCACUCGGUAAUGCACAUCACUAUAAGCCUUGCAAGCAUUGUGACUAAUAAGUUAGUUGCGGGAUGAUGUGUUAUGGAACGAGUAAAGAGACUUGCCGGUAACGAGAUUGAACUAGGUAUCGAGAUACCGACGAUCGAAUCUCGGGCAAGUAACAUACUGAUGACAAAGGGAACAACGUAUGUUGUUAUGCGGUCUGACCGAUAAAGAUCUUCGUAGAAUAUGUGGGAGCCAAUAUGGGCAUCCAGGUCCCGCUAUUGGUUAUUGACCGGAGACGUGUCUCCGUCAUGUCUACAUAGUUCUCGAACCCGUAGGGUCCGCACGCUUAAAGCUACGAUGACAGUUUUAUUAUGAGUUUAUGUAUGUUGAUGUACCGAAGGAGUUCGGAGUCCCGGAUGAGAUCGGGGACAUGACGAGGAGUCUCGAAAUGGUCGAGACGUAAAGAUCGAUAUAUUGGACGACUAUAUUCGGACUUCGGAAAGGUUCCGAGUGAUUCGGGUAUUUUUCGGAGUACCGGAGAGUUACGGGAAUACGUAUUGGGCCUUAUUGGGCCAUACGGGAAAGAAGGAAAAGGGCCUCAAGGGUGGCCGCACCCCUCCCCUUGGUCUGGUCCGAAUUGGACUAGGGAAGGGGGGCGCCCCCUUCCUUCCUUCUCUUUUUCCCUUCCUCUUUUCCUAUUCCAUAUGGGAGGUGGAAUCCUACUAGGACUAGGGAGUCCUAGUAGGACUCCACACUUGGUGCGCCCCCUCCUAGGGCCGGCCUCCUCCUUCCUUGCUCCUUUAUAUACGGGGGCAGGGGGGCACCCCAGAGACACAACAAUUGAUCCUUGAGAUCUCUUAGCCGUGUGCGGUGCCCCCCUCCACCAUAUUACACCUCGAUAAUACCGUUGCGGAGCUUAGGCGAAGCCCUGCGUCGGUGGAACAUCAUCAUCGUCACCACGCCGUCGUGCUGAUGAAACUCUCCCUCAACACUCGGCUGGAUCGGAGUUCGAGGGACGUCAUCGAGCUGAACGUGUGUAGAACUCGGAGGUGCCGUACGUUCGGUACUUGAUCGGUCGGAUCGUGAAGACGUACGACUACAUCAACCGCGUUGUGAUAACGCUUCCGCUGUCGGUCUACGAGGGUACGUGGACAACACUCUCCCCUCUCGUUGCUAUGCAUCACCAUGAUCUUGCGUGUGCAUAAGAAUUUUUUUGAAAUUACUACGUUCCCCAACACUACAAGCAUAUGUUCCUCCCUCAUAAUAAUUUUCAGUAGCAUCAUGAAUGAAUUCAACAAUAUAACCAGCACCUAAAGCAUUCUUUUCAUGAUCUACAAGCAUAGAAAUUUUAUUAUUCUCCACAUAAGCAAAAAAAUUCUCAUUCGGAAUAGUGGGAGUAUCAUAAGAGACUUGAACACUAUAAAUUGUUUCCACAUUAAAAGAGUAAUGUUCAAAAAAAGGGGAAUCAUAAUCAUGAAAAGUUUUAUAAAUAUAAUCAUCACUACUUUUUAUAGCAUAAGUUUCAUCACAAUAAUCAUCAUAAGUAGCAACUUUGUUCUCAUCAUAAUCAAUUAAAACCUCUUCCGAAAUAGUGGAUACAUCACUAAAUAAAGUCAUGACCUCUGCAAAUCCACUUUCAUAAAUAUUAUAAGAUUCAACAUCCUCCAAAAUAGUGGGAUCAUUACUUCCUAAAGUUGACACUCUUCCAAACCCACUUUCAUCAAUAUAAUCAUCAUAGGUAGAAGGCAUGCUAUCAUCAUAAAAACUUUGCAUAUCAAAACUUGGGAGGCUAAAAAUAUCAUCUUCAUUAAAGUAGCAUCCCCAAGCUUGGGACAAACAUUAAUUGCAGCAAAUAUAUUCUCAAAAACACCAUCUUCUUCAAACAUAGCAUCCCCAAGCUUGGGCCUUUUCAUAUCAUAAGCAUAAUCACUCUCAUCAUUAAUAGUAUGGAUAGCACCAAUAGUAUAGCAAUUAUCAUAUUCCAAGCAAGUGCGAAAAAGAUUUUCAAGAUCAUAAGAAGUAUCAUUAUCUUCCCAAUCAUAAUCAUCACAACAAGCAAUAGGCAUAACGAGAUCAUCAUCAAGUGCAUCAUCUUCCAUAAUUAUUUUUGAUUCAUUUUCAUGAGGCACAGCAAUAAUAGGAGCAACAUUAUUUGGGAGAGAUAUCUUUUUACCUCUCUUCCUUUUUCUUUUCUUCUUCUUCACCACAUCAUGUGUGGGUUCAAUCCUCUUUUUGGAGAUCCUCAUUGAUGAGAUUGGUUGAAUAGAAGGCUCCUCCUCGUUACCUGAUUCAUCAUAAGAAAUAAUAGGAGGAUAUUGGGAAGUCUCUUCCCUUUCAUUAGUAUUCUCUUCAUCUUCUAUUUGCUUUAUUUUCUUUAUGUAAUUGGCAAUAUAAGGAUUUUCAAUGCAAUUCACCGCACAAUACAUAUAAAUUUCCUCUAGAUCAAAACCAAGAACUUUAUAACGGGCAAAUUCUGGAAGAUGCUUAGUUAUACAUUUCAUUUCUUCGUAACCCAUAAGCAAACCGAGUUCAUUAUAAUGUGCAAGGGAAAUCAACUUAUCACAAUUUUUGGACACGAUUAGAUCAUGAAACAAUUUGCAUCGGAUAGCUAGAUGACCACUUUCAUUGCAAAGUUCACAAGUACGGCCAAGAAAAUUUAAAUUUUCAGCACAAACAUCUAGCCUUUCUUGCAACAAUUUAGUUUCUAAAUGCUUAUGCCUCUUGCAAUAUCUAUCUUCCCUAUUUGGUGUGUACUUGCAAACCCAAUGCACUCCACAAAAAUUGACAUGUUUAUGGGAGGCAUUUUCAUCAUAACUAGUGCAAUCAUCACUAGUACUAUGGAUAUUCAAGGAGUUCAUACUAACAACAUUGCAAUCAUGCUCAUCAUUCAAAGAUUUAGUGCCAAACAUUUUAAUGCAUUCUUCUUCUAACACUUUGGCACAAUUUUCCUUCCCAUUAUACUCACGAAAGAUAUUAAAAAGAUGAAGCGUAUGAGACAAACUCAAUUCCAUUUUUUGUAGUUUUCUUUUAUAAUACUAACUAGUGAUAAAACAAGAAACUAAAAGAUUCGAUUGCAAGAUCUAAAGAUACACCUUCAAGCACUCACCUCCCCGGCAACGGCGCCAGAAACUGCUUGAUGUCUACUACGCAACCUUCUUCUUGUAGACGUUGUUGGGCCUCCAAGUGCAGAGGUUUGUAGGACAGUAGCAAAUUUCCCUCAAGUGGAUGACCUAAGGUUUAUCAAUCCGUGGGAGGCGUAGGAUGAAGAUGGUCUCUCUCAAGCAACCCUGCAACCAAAUAACAAAGAGUCUCUUGUGUCCCCAACGCACCCAAUACAAUGGUAAAUUGUAUAGGUGCACUAGUUCGGCAAAGAGAUGGUGAUACAAGUGCAAUAUGGAUGGUAGAUAUAGGUUUUUCUAAUCUGAAAAUAUAAAAACAGCAAGGUAACUAAUGAUAAAAGUGAGCACAAACGGUAUUGCAAUGCUAAGAAACAAGGCCUAGGGUUCAUACUUUCACUAGUGCAAGUUCUCUCAACAAUAAUAACAUAAUUGGAUCAUAUAACUAUCCCUCAACAUGCAACAAAGAGUCACUCCAAAGUCACUAAUAGCGGAGAACAAACGAAGAGAUUAUGGUAGGGUACGAAACCACCUCAAAGUUAUUCUUUCCAAUCAAUCUGUUGGGCUAUUCCUAUAAGUGUCACAAACAUCCCUAGAGUUCGUACUAGAAUAACACCUUAAGACACAAAUCAACCAAAACCCUAACGUCACCUAGAUACUCCAAUGUCACCUCAAGUAUCCGUGGGUAUGAUUAUACGAUAUGCAUCACACAAUCUCAGAUUCAUCUAUUCAACCAACACAUGGAACCUCAAAGAGUGCCCCAAAGUUUCUACCGGAGAAUCAAGACGAAAACGUGUGCCAACCCCUAUGCAUAGGUUCAUGGGCGAAACCCGCAAGUUGAUCACCAAAACAUACAUCAAGUGAAUCACGUGAUAUCCCAUUGUCACCAUAGAUACGCACGGCAAGACAUACAUCAAGUGUUCUCAAAUCAUUAAAGACUCAAUCCGAUAAGAUUACUUCAAAGGGAAAACUCAAUCCAUUACAAGAGAGUAGAGGGGGAGAAGAAACAUAAGAUCCAACUAUAAUAGCAAAACUCGUGAUACAUCAAGAUCGUGCCAAAUCAAGAACACGGGAGAGAGAGAUCAAACACAUAGCUACUGGUACAUACCCUCAGCCCCGAGGGUGAACUACUCCCUCUCAUCAUGGAGAGCGUCGGGAUGAUGAAUAAGGCCACCGGUGAGGGAUCCCCCCUCCGGCAGGGUGCCGGAACGGGCUCCCGAGAGGUUUUUGGUGGCUACAGAGGCUUGCGGCGGCGGGACUCCCGAUCUAUUCUGUUUUUCGAUGGUUUUAGGGUAUAUUGGUAUAUAUAGGAGGAAGAAAUACGUCAGGGGAGCCACGAGGNNNNNNNNNNNNNNNNNNNNNNNNNNNNNNNNNNNNNNNNNNNNNNNNNNNNNNNNNNNNNNNNNNNNNNNNNNNNNNNNNNNNNNNNNNNNNNNNNNNNNNNNNNNNNNNNNNNNNNNNNNNNNNNNNNNNNNNNNNNNNNNNNNNNNNNNNNNNNNNNNNNNNNNNNNNNNNNNNNNNNNNNNNNNNNNNNNNNNNNNNNNNNNNGGGCGCGCCCCCCUACCUCGUGUCUCCCUCGUUGCUUUCUUGACGUGGACUCCAAGUCUCCCAGGUUGCUUUCCUUCCAAAAAUAACUUCUCCAGAAGGUUUCAUUCCGUUUCGACUCCGUUUGAUAUUCCUUUUCUUCGAAACACUGAAACAAGGGAAAAAACAGGAACUGGCACUGGGCUCAGGGCCAAUAGGUUAGUCCCAAAAAUAAUAUAAAAGUGUUUAAUAAAGCCCAUAAACAUCCAAAACAGAUAAUAUAAUAGCAUGAAACAAUCAAAAAUUAUAGAUACGUUGGAGACGUAUCACCUAUGAACUCGAGCUUCCCGUCGGCGCCAAGGUCCAUCCUGUCUUCCACGUCUCCCAGCUACGUCGCGCACUCUCCAACAACACAAACGUUGAGGACAAGCUGCCCGUUCCCCCCGAGGAGCCACUGUCGCCGGUUGAGAUCAUCGACACACACUGGCGCAACACUCCCCAGGGACGGCGCGAACAGGUGCUCGUGCGCUGGUCCGAUCCGUCCGCUCUCGACGCCACUUGGGAAGACGCCAAGUCCAUGCACGAGCGCUUCCCUGAACUACUGGCUUGGGGGCAAGCCAGCUCUCAAGGAGGGGGGGGGGGAUGUCGGCACACGCACCGCCAAGGCGACCGACGGCUUCACUCCGAGACGCGCCGACAGCAUGCCCAAGAGGAUCGUGCAGCCCAACCGAAGAUUCGUCGGUCCCAGAGUGGGCCCGCUGAGCCCGCUCGCCAAGUGGCUCGCUACUUAAACCCCAGAUGACAGUGGGAUCGGCAUCCAGAUGGAUCAGGACGGACGACAGCUCUCCUCUUUCCCCUUUCUCCUUCCCCGCCUACUUUCCUUUCUUCUCCCACAAGAACAGCGAGACAGAUUGUAACUCGAAUUCGAGGCUUGUAUCGUGAGUAAGUGAUAGAUCGGUCUGGUACCUAACAUUGAUGAUGUGGAAUAAAGUGUCCCCACCACACGCCUCAUUACUAUGUGCUUGUUCGUAUCUCGAGAGGCGUGUGAGUUUGUUUCUAUUGUCUGCGGAUUUGUCCUGGUGAUGUUGUUCCUAUGUGCGAACAACGCGGAUGUGUGUCUUAGUCAUCCAGCUCCCUUCCAACCGACGAAGUUUAAGCACCCGUGCCUUGUUGGGGAGCGUGUGAGAUUUUGUGUCCCCUGACUCCGUCUAGCCGAAUAUGUGUCGUUUUAUAGGGCCUCUCCAACGUUUUCUUAUCUAGAGUUGUGAUUGUUGUGAUUUGCUACAUAACUGAUGGCCGUUGACGUCUACUGGUCUACAUUAACUACUUCCUGCCCGUUACACAAGCUUCUGGGCUUCAACAAGUUUGCUCCGCUGAGACAGAGACCCGAAUGCGCCACGAGUUUUGCUCACGGCACGUCGUCGAUGGAUGAUGAAGUAGACUUCGACACCCCAAGACUUAAUGCCUUUUUAUUUAUUUUUGAGGGUAUUUUUUAAUGGUCCAUGAUGCUUAAUAAUAUAUGACCUAUGGUCUUUUUCAUUUUUUACCUGUUUUCUUAUAGGCUUAUUAUUACAAAGACCGAAUAUUUCAAGAUUAUCAAAACUGGUACACAUAAAUAAUACACUUAUACACUGAAAAAAAAACAUAGGAGUACUUUUUUUUAGGGAUAAAAAAAAACAUACUUAUAUGCCAUCUCCUGGCAAGUGCACGAACCCACCCCAGCCCUUCUCCGCUCCUCCUCCCGACCCAGGUGCUCCGCCUACCUAGGGCAUCCGCAUCCUCCCCUCUAGCCCCCGCGAUCGGGACACCCCCCGCCGGCGAGCGAUGUUGCCCCCUCCGCGCCGCGGCCCGGCGUACAAGACCAAGAUGUGCGCGUUGUGGCAGAACGGCAACUGCGACCGCGAGCUCUGCAGCUUCGCCCACGGCACGGCCGAGCUCCGCCGGCCCCCCUCCUCCCGGCCCACCUUCCCGCCCCACCACGCCGGUACGUAUGCGCAUCCCCUCUCCCCGUCCCGCCACCCCAUUGCCGCUCCUGUUCGUUCGAUUGCUGUUCCUCGCCGAGAUCCUCGCCCGGGGUUUAGGGUUUCUGUCCUAGCGAGAUGCGGGGAGGGUUGGAUGUUGCCCAAUUCUCUUGAUUUUCAUGGUAGCCAGGGUGUAGAUCUACGGAAAUCUAGAUGCAAAUUGAAUGUUGAGGAAUCUAGGGCAGGGAGUACCGCCAGAGAUGGCUGAAUGCUGGAAAGAUUAGGUUUUGGAUCCUACCAAGAAUGCUCGUUCGCGAAAUUCAGGUGAUUUGUAUCUUAGCGAAAUGAAACGGUUACCUCUGAAGAACACUGCGGUCAGUAUGAGUUGUUUGCCAGCCACACGAAUGACAAGUUACAAAUUGUUAAUUUUUGUUUCUUGAGGAGAUCCGGUUGACUAGAAGGAUGUAUUUAUGAGAAUUUGCCCAUGCUAGUCCUUCUGAAGGAAUGAUAUGUCUGAAUUGGAUUAUUAUCGAUUGACGUUUUUGGAGCAUUUUUUCUAUUUUCUAGGCGACAUUAUGUUGACAAGAUAUUUUUGUGCUUGCUUCAUGAUUCAUUUAAUUUAUGUGUUUCAUGUGUUGUGGCUUAUUGUGCUUGCGUGGUUUACUAUAAUUUUCAUACUACUGCUUGAAUUGAACAUCAGCUGCUGCAGAUAGAUAACAAUUGAGUAAGCAUUCUAACAACUGGAAGCUUGUUGCAGAAUUAGGUGGCAUUCUUACUGGUUGUCUUUUGAUUUAAUUGCCAUCACAAAUUUGUUAGACUCGACUGCUGCCAGAGGAUAACAUGGCCUUUUCCAUAGAUUUCUUCGAUUGGUAUUUUGAUGAUUUGUCGUGACCACUAAAUGCUCGGGCUGUAUCAGAAGGUGAACCUUUGAGGGUAUUGGCCUCCUUUGAUUGAUGCCCGUAAUAUGUUUGAUGUGCUAUGAUCAGGGCAGAGUCCACUGAAUGAUUAGCAGGCUUUGCAAUGAACCAAGUUGCAUAUCUUUUGAUCAUGGCACAUCAACUAGUUUCAUUGGGAAGUAUUCUUAUCGCUGGCAAUCCAAGUCGCCGAAGAUAUCUGGACAAAUGCUAGUACAUUUAUAUGGUGAUAUCUGGAUUAUGGCAGACCUUAUUUCAUCAUAAUUGCUGUAUGGGCUGUUUAUGGAGCUUCCAUCUAUUUCACUUCAGAUGAUCAACAUUAUGAGUAUUGGUAUUAUCCUAAUGGAUGCAUCAUUGUAUCUUGGUGUCUGCUUGCGUAUUAUUUUUUGGCGCUGCGUUUUUUUUGCGUGGCUAAUGACAUUAUCCUGGAGCUGCUGCUACUUAUUGCUAAUUGAAUAAUCUUGUAGAUCAAGUUCGUGGUAAGCUUGACAGGCUUAUGGGUGUCUUCUCUCCUUAUCGCUCCAUUUUACUUUGUUGACAUUAGCUCUUCCUUGUAUAAAACUUGUAAACCUUCGUUUCUUUUAGGGAGAAGAGAUUAUAGAGGUGGUGAUUUCAGAGGCAGGAUUGAAAGGAGGUUCUCACCUCGCAGGAGGCAUUCCCCUGGAAGAGAUUUCAGGGGUCAUCGUUCCCUACACGAUCGAAGGCCAACUUCUCGAGAAAGGGGUAAACUCUCUCUCUCUCUCUCUCUCUCUCACACACACACACACACACACACACACACACACACACACACACACACACACACAGAGCUGUUCACUUCUACGUUCUGCUUGCUCCUGCUAUAUGUUCUUAUUUGUAAUUUUGCUUGCAGAGUCUAGCUUUUCACGGUCUCCCAGCAGGAAGAGGUAUAUAUUGCAGUUCAACAUAUGAUCCUCAUCUUUUGGAGCCAUUUAAUUGUAAAAUUACUUUGAACACAUUAGUAUUUUUUAAGUUAUUUUGUAUUCUUAUAUGCAUAAUUGUUACCAACAUAGCAGAUAACUAUGAUUUGUUCCAAUCUAAAUGGAAUGCAAUGCAGCACACUGCAGUCUCACUGGAUUUGUUGGUUUACUAGAUAUGUUCUAUCUGUCUUGAAUAUGAGAAAGUCAUGUUUAUCUUGUAAUUUACUGUAUGUUAUCUUCAAUCUUUCAGUGAGAGGAGGCAUGAAAAGAAGAUGGAUGAUGGAGAAACCAACUCAUCUAAGAGUUCUCCUAUCUCUGAUAAUAAUGAUAGGAAAAAGGAAAAAGUCACUAGUGGUGACGAGAAAGAGGAUUAUGAAAAGGAGGUAUGAGGUUUUGAGCACUGUGUAAUCCAGUUUAUAGAUCACAUGCACCUUUGUCACAUUUUCCAUAUUGAAAUUCUGAAAUUUUCAAAAUUUGAAUAUUGUGCAGUUGAAACAAGUUAGAUCAGAUAUGGAGGCUUUGCGUGACGAUAAAUCUCAUCUCGAGGUCAGUUUUUGUUUCAAUGCAAUGUUGUGCAUUGUUACACAUUCCACCCAGAAAUGUAUGUGUUUUUGCCAAACAUCGAAUCCAACUUGUUGGCAAGGCUAUAUUUAUGUAGGAGACUAUUAAUGUCCAGAAUAUCAUAUUUCUUAAACAUAGCUAGUAAAUGUUAGCGUACCAUGUUAUUAAAAGAAAAAAGAUUAAAUUAUUAUUUAUGCCCUUUGUUCAAUGUAUGUCAUUUACAUCGGCCGACCUUCUAAAAUCUUCACUCUGCUCUAAUUAACAUUUACUCUGUAGAUUGUUUUGGAUGAGAAAAUGGACGAAGUGCGCAGGAUUUCUAGCCAAGUAAGUGACCUUGAUCAGCAGCUGAGGAGGGAGAAAGAAGAAUGUCAUAGGUAUCUAAGCAACACUUGCGCAUGCCAAUUUGGUCACUUUCUUUAUUAUUAAUAUCAAUAGCUAGGUUGUUUUAUUAUGUAGAUAUCCUGUUCUCAUAUUGAAUUAUGAUUCCAACGUAGAAUGACGUCAAAAAUGAAGAAGUUCCUAAAAGCUCAUGUCCGUUUUAUGAAAGCUCGGGAGGAGUUGAAAAGGUGCAUAUUCAUCAAUGUUAAAUCUUGUAACGAAAUACAUUCUUGGCUUGCUUACAUCACUAUAUUCUAUCUUUCAUGACUUGCGAAUUUGUAGUAACUAAGUAUUGACUAUUGGAGCUGUGCAGGUCACAAGCUCGUUUUGAGAGACUUGGUGAUAUGCUUGCUUCAGAAAUUUUAAAGCGUGGUGCUAAUGAAGAAGCUUCCAGCGUCCAUGUUGAUGAAGAUCUAAAUGGACCUUAUGAAAGGAGUCCAAAUGCUACUCCAGCUAAAAAGAGAUCAAUCCCAUACUCAACUAGUGAUGAGGCAAAAGCUGGUAGGUUGCUUGGAUUCUUGGAUGAUUUAUAUAUACUGCUGAAGAACAUAUGAUGAUCAGUACAAUGUGGAUCUCGUACAUAUUUUUCCUUCCGUAUGCAUCUUAACAUGUUUAAGCAACCCAUCUUAUUAAGUACUGUAUUAAGUAAUAGCUAAAGGUUCCGACUAUGUUAAUCUUAAGCAUUAAAUACAUGUGAUUAAUUACUAUGUAGAAUUUCACUGGAGGGGUAAUUUUUUUCUUCACAUUAUUGAGAUUUCAUUCUGUACAUUAUUGCAGAAAUAUCUUUCUAUCAUAUUGCUUGUAUACUUGCAUCUAAUCUUUUGUCCAUUUUUUCAGCUAAGAAAAGAAGAGAGCGAGAGACUGAUGCAUUCACUAGAUCAGAUAAAUAUAGGUCAGAAGGCGACAUUACAGACUAUGAUAAAACAAUUAAGGGUAGUGAUGGAACAAAAUCUAUAUAUUUGAAGAAGAGACUGUGGGAAGAUGAAAAGAAUAAGCUUGGAAAUGCUGCUUCCUCUGCAGACCAGGUCCAGUAUUUCCCUGUGCCAUCUUAGUUUUGUGUUAAAUGUUAUAUCGUGAUUGCUGGCUUGUUUAUUACCUCAUGCCAUCUCAGUUUUGUGUUUAAAUGUCAGAUUGUGAUUGCUGGCUUGCUUAUAAGUAACGAGUGAACCUCAUAGUUUUCCUUAAUUAUCGAGUCUGCUAGACUAUUAGCAAUGAAUCAUCUUGACGAAUGAAUUCUGCAUAUUACAAGAGAAUACUUAAUUGAGUAGAUAUUUUUGAACUUACAGGUGAAAGAUUCUCCAGUGAAGCACGCUUUGCCCUCCACUGGUAUGGCUGCUCGUGCCUUAUAUGACCUUAACGAGGCAGUUGAACUGGAUGAUAGAAACGAACAGAUAGAUGCAUUGCUAGAAAACGAUGCUGACGGGACUAGAUCGCCUGUACCUCCAGUGGGCCAAAAUGCCUUUGAGCAGGUGACUAUCCUCCAAGAAACCGCGAACCUGUUUUAUCAUACGCACUAAAAAAAACAUGACAUUGCUCAAUUUACAUUCUCCCCACCUAUAUUUCUUAUUAUAGAAGAAUAGUUAUUGGCUUGCAUAUGACUGAACAUGCGUGCUCACAGUUUGUUGCAUCUUCUUUCCCAGUAUGAGGACCUCGACGAGGAAGUGGAUGUGGACGUAUAAGCCGAGCGCAGAGUUGAUAUGAUAAACGACGCGAUGGCGGUGGCUAGCAUAAUACACCAGUUGGCUUCUGGGAGUCCGAAGACUGUUAUUAGCAUUUCCGUGUACAAAGUGGCAUCUUUUGUGUUUUUUUAGCAUAAUAUACCUAUCUAUUUGAUAUAUAUAUUGGGUGUUUUUAGCUUUUUACUCAGAAUCCUCGUUUUGUAGUGGCAUCCUUUGGCGUUGAGCUGUGACUUUGUUGAUCCUGGUUGCGGCCUGCUCCGUGUGGAGCUAACUUAUUUUCGUGAAUGGC